UUAGAUUUUUUAAGCAAUAAAUUAACGCAAUUUCCGAUAACAUAAUUUCUAUUAAGGCACAAGUUAACAUUUCCCUUAUUGAAAUUCAGAAUUAAUCUUUAUAUUAGGACAUAAUUAUUGAAAUUCAGAAGAGUAAUCUUUGUUGGGUAUGUGAAUGGAUAUUCACAUCACAUCUGUCGGGUCACUGAGGGGAGUUGGAGGACCUUUCACAUCGAGACUUGAACAACCACAUAAGUGAGAGAGACACACACUCUUACCAAAAACCUCAAAGUUGUUGAAUUCCCUCAAAACAUUACAUUCCCUUAAAACAUUCCCCCAUCCAAAUACACUCUAAGGCAAUGAAUAUAUGGAUCCUCUCACUUAUAAAGUGUUCAACCUCCACUAUUUUAUCUGAUGUAGAACAUAUAACUCACAAUUGCACACAACAACAACAUCCAUGUUACAAAUAAGUGUUCCAUAUGCUUUUUAAAUUGUACAUCCACACUUGAUGCAAGGAAAACAAUUUAAACCUAUAGUUUUAAAUUACUAUAAUUUUUUAUCACACAUAUUACAACAUAAUUAUUGAAAUUGAGAGGAGUGAUCUUUGUGUAUGUGAACAGACAUUCACAUCACAACUAUAUUUCAAACAGCAGUACAAAUAGGAGUACCAUCUGCUUCAUAAAGUAUACAUCCAAUUGAUGCAAGACAACAAUUACAUUUUGGGUAGAGGUGUUGACCACCUGUAGAAGGGCAAGUCAUGUAUGCAACUGUAUCAUAACAAAAUUGUGGGCAAAUUUUUUGUGCAUCAACAUUUUUCAAAUUCCCUCCUGAAAAAAUUGCACCUGGGAUCAUAAAAAGAAAGUCAGAUUGGUAUAUAUAUAAUUUGAUCAAAUAAUUUUUAUUUUCAGAAAAAAAGGAGACUCUAAUUAGCAUCCUCACCAAAGUUUAAUUAGGUAAUUUUCAUCUUAGGUAUGUAUUUAAGUUAGACUCUUUGUCCACGAUUUAUAACUCAACCUAUCUUGAGCUCCCGUUUGUUAUAUCAAACUUAAUUACUUAAACCAAACAGUUGAGUUCAAGUGUUUAAGAGUUUCACCAAAGACGAAUCAUUCGGGAGAAUCCGUUUUUGAUUUCUGAACUGAACAAUUGCUUUAUUUUUUUGAAGGAGCCUUAAUUACUUAAUAAUUAGACCUUUUUAUUUUUCGAAAAUACUUAGCUAAACAUAUCAUUUUUUAUGCCGAGCAUUUUUUUUUACGUUUAAUGCACCGGUUUCUAAAAAUAUAUUCUAAAUAUAAUAUAUUUUCUUUUGAACAAGUCAAACUGAAACUAUGUAACAAACAAAGGCUCUCUCAUAUAAUGUGAGAUUUAAAGAGAGAUAAAAGAGUUAUGAGAUAGAUGGAGAGGAAAAUGGAACAAGACGAUCUAAUUCAAAACUCGAGAUAAGAUGAAUGCCCUAAUUAUGUUUAGGACACAUGUUAGUUUCAAUGUUAAGCUAAAUUCAGUUCAAUAUCUUUCUAUAUCUAUAAAAAAACAAAGUAUAGCAUAAAUUGCAAAAACAACUACUUAAAAGAAGAAGCAAAAUGAAAAAAAAAAACUUUAUGUUGAAGGAAGAGAGAUGGUGGGUUCAAGAUUUACCACAAACGAGGACAAGAAGGAUAGUCUCAACCUUUAAAGCCAUAUUUCUUUGCAAAACUGGUGAAACUUAUGUCUCAUAUUUAUAGCAUAAAAAAAUAUUAACGUACAUAAUCACGCAUAGAUUAUUGAACUAAAUCAAUAAGAAUAUUCGCAUGGAGCAAAAGUCAGAUAAAUCGUAAGCAUCAAGGGUAGGUUUAAUGAGGAAGAUGCGAUCAAUAAUAAAACAUAAGAUAGGAGAAAUGCCAACUAAUGUGAUCGGAGACACUCAUUAGAAAAACCUAUAAAAUAGACUUAAUUGUAGUUAUGCUGAAAUUGAUUCUCUUAUUUUAUUUUAAAAUCUUGCAGUUUUGUUCUCCUUCAUAUAGUCUUUGACUAAAAAAAUAAUGACAUGACAUAUUUUAAAUGAUAUGCGACUCAACAUGGUGGUGAUAUGGAAUGAUAAGCACAUAAUUAUUCUAAAAAGCCAUAUCUGAUCUCAAUUUAAUAUCUGUUGAAUUCAAAUUUGUUAACAAUAAAAUAAGAUAUUCAAUCCUGUCUUUUUUUUUUUUCUCUUUCUUUUACAAUAAUUCAAUCCUCUAUUAUACUUUAUUAUAUCCAUUCAAUUAAGAGUUUUAUUUAAAAGUCCGUAAAACUUAAUUAACUCAACUUACAACGUCGAAAUUGUUAGGUUGAAUAAUUCAAUAUUGUAUGUGUGAAGUUGAUCAAGUUGUGUUUGCCAUUUUGUCCGCUAACCAAGACAAAAAAUUUAUCCUAAGAGGUAAGGUGUGGAGAGGAGUUGUUUGAAGGACGAAGGGAGGGACGUGUGUGCUUGGUGGAGGGAGAUGGUACAAAUUCGUAAUGGUGUAGGUCUCACGAUAUGGGAGGUUGGUUUAGGACAAUAUUAGUCCGGAGAUUGGGAAUGGAGAUAAUACAUUUUUUUUUGGAUGGAUCAGUGGUUUGGGUGAUUUAUCGUAAUGAGAUCGAUUUCAUAGAUUGUUUGAGUUGUCUAAGCACAAGUGGUUGUCGGUUGCAGAUAUGUUUUCGAUAGGCUGGGGUGAGGGUGGUGAUGCGUGGAAGUGGAGAUGUCGGUUGUUGGUGUAGGAAGGAGGAGCUCGUAGGGAGUGUAGGAUUUUACUUCAAACCGUAACUUUGCAGGUUGAACAUGAUGAUCAAUGGCUUUGGAAGUUGGAUCUAGCUGUUGGUUAUUCAGUUAGUGGUGAGUAUCAGUUUUUUACUAGCUACGCUCCUGGUCCAACUUCAUCAGUUCUGAAUCUCUUUUGCCAUAAACAUGUCCCCUUGAAGGUGUUGGUGUUUGCGUAGUGGCUCUUACGCAAUAGACUGACAACUAAAGAUAAUUUAAUUCAGCGUGGUAUUAUUCAUAAUGACUCUCGGCUUUGUGUGAGUGGGUGCGGUGAUCCGAAAACGGUUUCUCAUUUGUUUUUACAUUGCAACUGUUUUGGGUCCCUUUGGCAUCUUGUUCGUAAUUGGUUAGAAAUUUCUAGGACUGAUCCAACCGAUAUCUCAAAUCACUUUAUUCAAUUCGGCAAUAUAGCCGGUGGUUCUAAAGCGCGACGCUCCAUUAUGCAUUUAAUUUGGCUUUCUUGUACGUGGGAAAUUUGGAAACAAAGAAAUAACAUGAUUUUUAAUAAUAUGGAUUGCUCAACUGUUCAGAUUUUGGAGAAGAUAAGUCUCAUUCUUUUUGGUGGCCGAAGGCAAAUAACGCAACUUUUGCUUUUAGCUAUCAUAAUUGAUGGCUUAGUCCCAUAUUGUGUCUGGGUAUCAGAUGAUUCUUGUAUUUUGUGUAUUGUUUUUGCUCUUUUUCGAUUCAAGAACCGAAACAUGUAACGAAUCCAAGAACCAGCACCUCCUUGCAACAGGAACAAGCAUAACGUCUCUUUCGAGCAAACAGUCCAACAUCAAACAUGUAGAUCGAUGAGGGUUUCAAGUUGGCGUAUGAAUCACCUUUCAACGCAUAAUGAUGCAAAAUCCAUCCACUCCCUGCAAACCACAACAAGUUUUAAUCGCCCUUUCGAACUAAACCACCACAAAUCCAUUUGAAAACGGCGACAUGAUCCAAGGAGAAUCAACACAUACCGGAACUUGAACCUUUCAUCAUAGUAAACCGAUUUUCGAAAUUCAGUCACGAAGGAUUGAAACAGAUGUCACACCUUCCCCAAUUUCUCCAGCAUAGUGGAUGCAAAGGCUAAACUUUGUAAUCUGCAAAUCUCAACAGACCUGGGGCUAGAAUCAGGAAACGAAAGCAGUUGGAGCACAACACAACAAACAGUUGGAGUUCAUGACUUUGUUCACCCAAUUGAAUUCACACAAUUGAAUUUAAAUCACUCUAAUUAAUUUUAAUGUGACUUAUUUUUUUGAAGGUUUAAUGUGAAUUUUUGUUGUUGCAUUUUCUACAUCAAUUAAAAUACAAUUUUAUAGAGUACAUAUUUUAUGUGAAUAUUGAUAGAACAAUGUGCAAUAUUGAGUGAAAAACUAGUUUAUGAGAAAUUAGGGUUAAUCGAGAAAUUAAGAGAGAGAAGAGAAUUGGAAUUAAACUGAAUUUUUAUUGAUAGCAAUGAGUCACACUAUGUACAAAUUAUACUUGAGUAUAUAUACAUCAAGGAGAUGUAAUUAACUCAUAACAAACAAAACAAAAGGUUUUUUAAUCUACAAGUAAGCUAGUUAAGUUGUUCCUUAAUUCACAAGUUAACUAACUAACUAACUCAAAACUAACUUUAUUACUAAUUGAACUAACAUUUUAAUACACCUCCUAAUUCAUCAGGUACAGAUUUCUACCAUUCCCAACUCAUUCCUCAAGUACUGAAAGCUGCUAAUCUUCAAUGGCUUUGUAAGCAAGUCUGCAACUUGCUCUCCUGUCUUGUAGUGCAUAAUUUCUAGCUUGCCUUUGUUUACUUGAUCUCUUAGGAAAUGGAAACGUGUCUCAAUGUGUUUACUUCUUCGAUGAACAAUUGGAUGCUUGGCUAAGUCAAUAGCAGAUUUGCUACCAACCAUCAUUUCCAUCCUUUCAUUCUCCUUUAGCUUCAGCUCCACUAGUAACAUGUUAAUCCAUUGAACUUGACAAGCUGCCAUAGAAGCUACAAUGUACUCAGCUUCACAAGAAGAUAAUGCAACCAUUGAUUCCUUAUUUGAACUCCAUGAAACUGCAACAUUUCCAUACAAGUACACAUAUGCUGCACUACUUUUCCUAUCAUCUUUAUCUCCACUCUAGUUAGAAUCAGAAUAUCCAAUUAGUUCAUAAGUUGGAUUAUUCCGAUUCUUUGAGUAUUGAAUGCCAUAGUUGCAAGUUCCCUUCACAUAUCUGAGUAUUCUCUUAGCUCCAAUCAGAUGUCAAUUAGUAGUUUUCUCCAUGUAUCUGCUGAUUAGUCCAACUCCUUAAGCUUUGUCAGGUCUUGUAUGACGUAGGUACCUUAAAGAGCCUACAAUUUGCUUGAGUAGAGUUGAAUCAAAUUCCUUCUCAUCACUGAUCAGAGAUAGAUUUACUCUUGUGUCAACUGGUGUUGAGAUUGGCUUGCAAUCUAACAUCUUGAACCUCUUUAAAAUAUUCAAAGCAUACUUCUUCUGAUGAAUCACAAUGCCUUGUGAAUUCAUUUCAAAUUCAAUUCCAAAGAAGUAUGUGAGCUUGCCUAAAUCAGAAAUUUCAAACUGAUUCUUCAUAUUGCUUUUGAAGUAAUCCAUCUCGGUCUCAUUGUUUCCAGUUACAAUCAUAUCAUCCAUAUAUAAGCAAACAAUCAACUUAUUAGUGAUAUUCCUGCAGUAAAUGCCAUGCUCAUUCACACAUUUCUCAAAACCUUGCUGAAGAAGAAAGCCAUCUAUCUUCUUGUUCUAAGCUAUGGGAGCUUGCUUAAACCAUAAAAUGCCUUCUUCAAUCUAUACACAAGAUCUUCUUUCCCAUUUAUCUCAAAACCUGGUGGUUGGCUUACAUAUACUUCUUCUUCCAACUCACCAUUGUGAAAUGCUGACUUAACAUCUAACCGAUACAUUGACCAACUAUUGCUAUUGCCACAAUCAAUCUGAUUGUUUCCAUCCUGGCAACUGGAGCAUAAACUUAAUAGUAAUCUUGACCAUAUUUGUGCAGAAAACCUCUUGCAACUAGCAUGUCCUUAUACUUUUCUACUUGACCAUCUGGCUUCAGUUUGGUCUUGAAAACCCAUUUCAAAUCAAUAGACUUCUUAUUUUGAGGAAAAUGAACUAACUUCCAUUUUUUGUUCUUCUCUAUUGACUUCAAUUCCUUAAGGAUUGCUUCUUUCCAAUGCUUUUUCUUAAGUGCUUGCUCAACUGUGACUGGUUCAACUUCAGCAAGCAUAGCCAAUUGAGUUAUAUCUCCUUCUACAUUCACUGCAAUGUCAGGGAGCCUCACAGUCAUUCAAUCUAGAAAGUGGUUGAGUGUUUCUUGUAGGUCUAUGUGCACCUCCUUCAUUUGCAACCUCAACAUUUUCUUCUUGAUCUUCAGUUUCAUGCUCAUCUUCUUCUGAAUAAGAUAGAUACAACUGAUUUUCAGUUUUAUUUGGAGCCUUGCCCUUCCAGUUCCAGCUUCUAUAUACAUCAAACUUCACAUCUUUGCUAAAUACUACUUUCUUACUAUUUGAAUCCUAUAGUUUAUAGGCACCAGUUGAAUGAUAUCUAACUAGAAUCAUUGCUUGAGACUUGUCAUCCAGUUUUCUUCUCAUCUGAUGAGGAAUGUGUUUGAAACACAAUGAACCAAACACUCUAAGAUUCUGAACGAUAUGCUUCACUCCAGACCAUGCUUCUUCUGGUGUCUUAUCCCGCAGCUUCUUUUUAGGACUUCUAUUUAUGAGGUAUGCUGCAGUAGCAGUUGCUUCUCCGUACAAAUAAUGAGGUAUAUGUUUUUUCUUUAACAUGCUUCUCAUCAUGUUUACCAAAGUUUUAUUAUUUCUUUCUGAGAUGCCAUUAUGUUGUGGUGUAUAAGGUGCAGUCACUUCAUGAUUUAUGCCAUUUAAUGAGCAAAAAUCAUUGAAAUCAAUGGAUGUAUACUCACCUCAUCCAUCAAUUCAUAAUCUGCAAAUUACCUCACCACUUUCAUCCUGAACCAACUUUCUAAACUUCUUAAAAACUCCAAACACUUCACUUUUCUUAGCUAGCAGGUAAAUCCAUAACUUUUUGGUAAAUUCAUCAAUGAAUUUCACAAAAUAGCUAUUUCCUCCUAAUGAUUUUACCUCAAAUGGACCACACACAUCAGAAUGAAUUGCUUCAAGUUUCAUAUUUGCUUUGAAUGGUACCUCUGAUUUGUAUGAACUUCUGGCUUGCUUUCCUGUGCAACACAUCUUACAAAUUUCACUAGACAACUUGAUCUUUGGUAAACCUUGCACCAUUUUCUUCUCAUUGAGCAUAUUCAAGUCUCUAAAGUGGAUAUGCUAUCUUUGAUGCCAUAGCCAAUCCUCAGACUCAGUUUCUAAUAGCAUACACUGAUCCUCAAUCACAUUGAUAUUGAUCUUGAAGGUUCUUUUCUUUGACAAUGGAGCCUUUAGAAUCAAUCUUCUCUUGCUGUCAAAAACCAUCAUAGUUUGUUCCUCCAUUUUCAUAGUAUAGCCUUUCUGCAAUAACUGACCUAUACUAAUGAGAUUACUCUUCAUGUUUGGCACAUAUAACACACCAGUAAUGCAAGCUUUCUUGCCAUCUUUCCCAUGAAUCAUAACCUUGCCAAUUCCUUCAGCACAAACUAUUGUCUGCAAAUCUUAUCUUUCUAUUCACUAAAUCAUCUAACUCAGAAAACCAUGACAUUUUACCUGUCAUGUGCUUUGAGCAUACAGUAUCUAAGUACCACUCAUCAUUCUUUUCUUCAUCACCUUUAAUAGUUGCAAUCGAAAGAACUUCAUCUGAGUCUUAAUAUUCAUCUUGAGCAAACUGAGCUUCAUCACCUCUGUUCCUUGGCACUCUUUUGGAUCUACAUUCAGAUGCAUAAUGACCCCACUUUUAGCAAUUAUAACAUUGAAUUUGCUUCUUAUCUUUCUUCUUCUGAUUUGAUGCAGCCUUUGCUUCAUCUUUCUUGUUACUUUCCUGAUUCUUGCUAGAACCUUCACCAUUCUUAUAAGAUUUUCCCACCUUUCUUCAUUGCGUCUUUGUUUGCAGCUUGUUUCACAUCAGUUGCGUUUCUUGCCAAUGCUGGUACCCCAUCAUUAACAACUUCAAGAACAUCUUGGUAUCUGAAGAUCACCUCCAUCUUCACGAUCCAUUGAUCAUAAUCCUUGCCAUCAAAAGUUGUAGGUGUGCAGGGAAGUUAUUGUUGGUAGUUGCCAUCAUUCACUGAUUCUUCCAACAAUGGUGAUCAAAACCGGGCUCUUAGUACCAAUUUGAUAGAACAAUGUGCAAUAUUGAGUGAAAACUGAAAACUAGUUUAUGAGAAAUUAUGGUUUAGGGAGAAAUUGAGAGAGAGAAGAGAAUUAGAAUUAAAACUGAAUUUUUAUUGACAGUAAUGAGUCACACUAUGUACAAAUGAUACUUGAGCAUAUACAUCAAGGAGAUGUAACUAACUCACAACAAACAAAACAAAAGGUUUCUUAACCCACAAGUAAGCUAGUUAAGUUGUUACUUAAUUCACAAGUUAACUAGCUAACUCAAAACUAACUUUCUAACUAAUUGAAUUAACAUUCUAAUAAAUAUUUGGCCUAUAACAAUGAACCUCAUACAUGUAUACUCUCAAUUAUAUUGUUCUUUACAAACCAAAACAGAAAUAUUGUUAAAAUCUCUAUUGUAGUACAAUACAUAUAUGAAAGGAAAUCAUGCGUAGAUUAUUGAAUUAAAACAAUAAGAAAACUCUGAAGUUAAGGUUGCAGAAGAUAGCAAGAUUCAAGGUCUCAAGGCAAAGAAUUACAUUUUCCAAUCUAUUGAUAUAGCAAUUUUGAAAACCAUUCUUGUGCCCAAUAUUUCAAAAGAUAUAUGCGAUUCGAUCUAAAAGAAAUAUCAAGGUUCUGCUACAGUUAAGCGUGCUCAGUUACAAGCAUUUUGUAGAGAAUUUGAAGCUCUUGUUAUGAAAUAAGGUUAAUAUGUAAUGUGUACUUCGCAACUUGCGAUCGCUAACAAAACGACUGGUCAUGGGGAAAACAUGGAUGAGAUCCUGAUUGUUGAAAAAAAUAUUAAGAUCCAUGACAUAAAGAUUCGACUAUUUGGUGUGCGUCAUAGAAGAAUCCAAUGAUGUUACAAUUUUAUCCAUUGAUGAGUUACAUACUAGUUUACUUGUUCAAGAAGCAAGAAUCAAUGCUCAUAAGAGAAAGAUGCGGAGCAAGCUCAAAAGAUGUCUAACUCAAACAGAGGUUAUGGACGUGGUAGGGGUCGUGCGGGAUCAAGAGGGCGUGGAAGAGGAAGACAAAAUAAAAACUUGUUGAAUGCUACAAACGUCACAAAAACAAUGAGAGACUAUCAUUCAUUUGUUCCUACCAUGUGAUUGUUUGUCUAUUUCUUCUUCACCAAAGUUCUUCCUUUCCCCCACAAAUUUUGAUCUUAUUCUCUCAGUUUGGUGGUUUACUAAAAAAGAAAACAAUGUAAAAAGAAUAAAAGAUGGUGUUGCAGAGUUAUGCUUUGGGCGAUGGUGCUUGAAAUUAUUAUGGACAGAGAAAAGUGAAUGAAAAUAGAUUUUUCAUUAUUGAAUAGAGCUAGUACAAGUUGUAUAUAUACAAAAUAGUUUCUCUAUGUUAGCUUAUUAUGUGUAACCAACAUAAGAUUACUAAAUUACACACACUUAGCUAACUUUUAACUAUCUAACGAUUACUUGUUACACAAGUAAUAGAUUUCUAACUAACUGUUUCUUCAAAAAAAAAAAAGAUUUCUAACUAACUGUAACUAAUUGCAUAACUGCAUAAUGAUUACUUGCUAGGCAAGUAAUCCUCAUUGAACUUAUAUGGUGUCAUAGAAAUCGAAAUGAAUCAAAUAUUGUGCUAGAUAGAUGCUGUUUGGACGCGCAUUAAUAGAUGCAAAGAUUAUAUUUUCAGUGUCUUCUGUAAAAGAAAGGCAAAUAAUGUAGCUCACUAUUUGGCAAGAAUGGCACCUAGCUAGCUGGCCUCAGUCUUAUGGUUUCAACCAAAUUUCAGAGUUGAUUAUUAAUGAUAAACUGUGAGCAUUAUUUAGUCAAAAAUAUAGGUAAACAUAUAAUCACAUUCACAUGUAAAAUCUAACAUCACUUUUCAGGUAAACAUAUAUAUUAAUUACCCAGUAGUACAUAACACCCUUAGUUACAUACUUACAUCUUUGUUUUUAUAACAAAAAUAUAUACACAAACUUGCUUGCUACUAAUUUACCAACUUAUCUUUUUGACAAAAUAUAGUCAUCAUUUGUAGACAAUUACUUGCAUAGUCUACAAAAUUACACCAUAGCAUCACAAAUUGUAAACAAAACAAACAUAGUCUACUAUAUCAUCUUAUCUUAUAAGUUAUAGCAUAAGAAAAAGAAACAUUGUAGACCUGAACCACUUGUUUCUGCAACCUUGCUAAUCAAAUUCAAGUAUGACAGAAGAGACUUCUUUCUUAGACAAGUACAGCUUCUCCUUAAAUUCUUCGAUGACUGGAGAUUUUCCCUUCCUCCCAUUAACAAGGGAGAAAUUCAUCCUCUCAAGCACUAUACAAUGUUCCAUAAAAAAUUUGGCGCAAAACAGCUCAGGCUCUGAUACACGGGCAUUAUCAAAUUUCACAACCUUGAGAGUGGAUGCCAAGCAAUUGGGCACAACAGCAGAAUUCAGAAGCUCUUGGUUGAAUUUAGAUAUUCCCUACAAAGUUAUAAUCAAACAAAGUUCAAAUAAGAGGGAGAUAUUAAAGGUUAAAGUAUGGAGUAAUAAUCAUUUUAGUCACUGAAUGUUUGACGAGCAGCCACAAUGGUCUCUCAAUGUAUCGAAAUUCAAAAUAAUCCAUGAUUGUGCACUUCGUUAGUCAAAAUAGUCUCUGACGUUAAAAUAGUCCCUGAACGCCGACAUUAACUAUUUUUAUAUAGGAACUUAUAGGGAAUGAUAUGACAAUAAGUGUAUCGAGGGACUUAUAUGACAAAAUUAACGAAGAAUUUUAGCAUAAAGGACUAUUUUGACUAACAUAUUGCACAAUAAUGGACUAUAUUGAAAUUUCAAUACAUUGAAGAACUAUUGUGGCUACACAUUCAGAGACUAAAAAUGACUAUUACGCCGUUAAAGUAUAUUAAAUAUGCUAAGUACCAACCUGGAAAACUAGAGUAUUGAGAAAUGGAGUCUUUUGAAGAAAGCUCAUCAAAACUUCACCACUAACAAAGCCAAGAUCCAAAUGGCUUAACAUUGCAAAUGUAGGUAAAACUGCCAUUUUUUGUUGUGUGAGAGCCUGGAUGACAAACAUUAAGAAACACUAAGUUGGUGCUACUAUUGACUAAAUAUUACUUAAGUUGUUUGUGUAGGUUAUAUAAAUUGAUAGCAAGUUUUCUAUAUAAAAAUAUAUAUUGAUAGCAAGUUCUCGAUCGACGUUCAUAAUUAAAUAUCUUGAUCUCAUGAAGAAUAUAUUCAAUGCUUAGCACCAACUUAUGUUGCAACAACACUUGGUAUAUGUUUGGAUUGACAGUGAACUUUGCAAAAUAAGAGUGGCACCGCAAUUUGGUAAGCUCCAAAGAGUAGUAGCUUUUGCAAAAUAUACAUUGUUUCACCAAUGAUUAUGUCAACCUCACCAUCAAUCCAAACAUGUACGAAUCAAAGGCAUGUCGUGGUGUCUGACAGUGACACAUAUAAUUACAUUCAAUCAACGACGCUCGUAUAAGUACCAAUGCCGUGCUUAAAAACAUGCGCCUACAUAUUCAUGAUUACAUUAGGUUAGAUGAUUUAGUAUUACCUCCCCCCAUAUAUGAAAUUUGAUACACUUCACUUGACUGAAUUGUUUAAGAAGGAGACAAGCACUUGAUCCAAUUUCUCGAUCAACAAUACUCCCACGCUUAUAGAUAAUGAUGUUAACAUAAGCAUCAUAAGCUACUGAUGGAUUCGACAAAACAAUGGGUUGCAUUAUGCCAUCAUGACCACAAUAAGUGAAUUCUUUCAAACAUGAAGCAGAAAAUUUGAUUUUGCAGCUACGUAGCUCCCGAGUCAACGGCUUAAAGUCUUCUUUUAUGCAAACAGUUUUAAGCCGAGGCGCUUCAACAGUGACAUCAUAAGCACUUAACCAUAAGCAGUUUUUUGUCUUAAACUUUGUCAAUACUGGUAAAUGAAUAACUAGAGAUUCCUCAAUGGUAAAUAUAAUAGCACACAAGUUGAGAACUUUAAGGCUUCCAAAAGUAAAAUAACCAUAAGAACUUGGAGGAACUUUGAUAGCACAACAACACAUCUUAAGCACCAAUUCUUCUAAAUAAUUGGAAUGAUAAAAAAGGUAGUGAGAUGUAAGAGUAGAGAAUGGGACUUCACAAAUUGCAUUGAUGCAAAUUUUCUUUACACAUUUCUCCAAUAUGCAAAAGAUCCAUGCAUUUAGAAGAGAUGCAUCAUAGUCUUUAGUGAUGACAAGUGAUAAACUUUCCACAUUGUUUCUUGGUGUAAAAAGAAGAGUCCUAUUCACAAAGUUUAUAAAGUUUUGUUUUGCACCUGAUUUAUUCCUCCUUUGAGAAUAGAACACACCAUCAUCUAAAUCUAGCUUGGUGAUGGAGAUCCAAUGGUUUAACCAUUUCUUAGAUAAGACACUUGUACGAACUGCAUCUUUUGUAGGAAGACAAGAUAUAAUGUGAGUUAUAAGUGAAUCAGGUAGAUUACUGAUUAAAUCCUCCAUUUUUCUGCAUUUUAAACACUAACAAAUAUCAAAACAAUAUGAUCAUGCAUUGCAUGCAUAAGAUCUUCUUAAAUGAAUCAAAUCUUUCAAAGAGAAGAAUAAAUACUCAAUCUCACAUGAAAAUGCCUCAAAAAUGAAACAUGCAAUCUUAAAAAGAAAAUGAUACUCACCUUUUUGAGUCAACAAGAAGGAAGAUGAGGAUUAAGAUGUUUCUUUUUUUUCUUUUCAGCAAUUUCCACUAGCCAAGACACUUCCCCAGUUACUCAUGUUUGGCUUGUAUUAAGGCUGAGCAUAAUCAAAGUGAAAGGGGGGGCUAUGUAAGAGAGCUAGCUAGCAUGUGUGAUCGAUUGACAUGUGAGUCUAUGACAUUAACAUAGUAGAUAGCUGCUAAAUGUCCUCUCCUACACCUUUCUUAUUACCAUUUUAUUUCAAUAUAACAUUUUAUUUUUUCUAUUAGAUCAUCGGUCUAUCAUAUUUAUUACAUUACUUUCCCUUAUAUCGAGUAAGCCACUAAUUGAUCCAUGUCUUUUUAUCACACUUUUAAACGGGUGAUUGACUCUAUUAGUAUCUCAAAAUAGGCUAACUCUUUAUCAAACUUUUCUCAAUUUGAUACCUUUGUUAGUAUACUUUAUGUUGUUGGAAUAAGAGUGGUUCAUACAAUUCCUCAACCGAGUUGCCUACCAAACCCGCUCUCAGGGUUCACCCUUUCCCAUUCCUCAAGGAAUUUUCUUUAUUGGAUUAUUCGGGGUAUCGUCGUUGAUUAAGAAUUUGGUUAGACGGGGAUUCUACAAGCGCUCAGCUGGCUUUUAGAGACCACUUUGGUUUGUCGAUAUAUCAUUUUCCGUAAUUUGCUUUCUUUUUUGUUUCUCUUUUGGAGGAUUUUGGUUUGGUCUCCCGUCUUGUAUAUAUUUCCCCUUUUUUACUAUAUAUGUUACUAUGGAUUAGGCGACAUGGGGUGGGGGUUGCCCGGAGGUACCAACCAUGUUGGGAUGUCGGCGCCUCACUUAUUUCCUAUGUUAUUUUUAAGUAGACAUUAUGUUUCAAUGAUUAUUUUUUAUGUAAUAAAAAUAGUAUUUCCGUUAUACUAGUGUUUACCAGUGUUUUUGGUAAACAAUGUGGGCUGGUUUUAAGACCAAACCAGAGAUCCAAGGACAUGUUGUGCAUUUAUUUUUGUGUGUUCAUCAAGUUUAUAGGUUGCUUUGCGAACAGGACGAGACCGUGUGGUGUCUUUUGACAGGAAAAAAGUUUUAAAAGCAAAGUAAAGGCAUUAAGUUUAAAUUGCAGAAAUUUAAAUGAAAGGUAAAAUACAAUGCAUUAAAAAUAAAGGUGGUUCGACAAAUCCUUUACAUACAUUCUUUGUAACUCUUUUCCCUCGCGUCGGUAAGUCGAGUGUUUUAGAAUUCUGUAUAGGUGAUCUACGACCUGUUUUCCCUACGGAAAACUCUUAUUUAUACAUAGAAAAUGCAUGGAAAGAAACUAAUCCCACGAUCAGCAAUCUAAUCCUUCCAUUUAGACAACCACUUGUCUCCCACGUUCUCCAUUCAGGAAACCGUUUCUCUUUAGAAAUUCGAAUCUUCCCGCUUCAAAGGUCAUUGCUUGACUUUGACGGUUUUGCGUCUCUGACUCGUGUCUUGUCGAACCUUAAGGCUUCGAGAAUUUUUCAUGCUAAGUCCAACAUCUCGUUGAAACUCCUUAAGUUGAAGAAAAGACUUCAAUACCUGCAAGAGUAAAAGUCAACUAAUGUUGACCACUUUAAAUGAGGCUGGUGAAAAUACCAGCUAACAACUAGUUGAAAAACGAAAGAAAUAAAGAGAAAUCUUUGUUUUAGACAUUGACGGUUUGGUCUAUGUACUUUUUUUCGGUAGAGAUUGUUCCGUGAAUUUAUUUUUUAACAGUAUAGCGAUUAAAAAUUCAUCCUUUAAAAUAAAUAAGUAAAAAAUGAGAGGUUCGAACCUCGACCCCUACAUAUUAUAACGCAACUAUUAACCGAACUAUGUUCAAUGACCUUGAAAUUCAGGAUUUGUAUUCAAUAUUGAACUCAAAACACAAUGAAUUAUUGAAGACAUUUUUUUGACCCAAAAAAAAAUGAUAAUAUUGAAGACAUAAAGCAUGAAAGUAAAGCCUAGAGUAGUUGUAUUUUUUAUAAAUACAAUUUAUUAUAAUAUUUUAUCACACAUAUUACAACAUAAUUAUUGAAAUUUAAAAAGGUGGUCUUUGUGUAUGUGAAUGCACAUUCACAUCACAUCACAUCAAUCCAUAUCCAUAUUCAUAUUACAUACAAAUAGGAGUUCCAUAUGCUUUCAAAUGAUUACAAUUUUUUUAACAAACAUAUUACAACAUAAUUAUUGAAAUUUAAAAAGGUGGUCUUUGUGUAUGUGAAUGCACAUUCACAUCACAUCACAUCAAUCCAUAUCCAUAUUCAUAUUACAUACAAAUAGGAGUUCCAUAUGCUUUCAAAUGAUUACAAUUUUUUUAACAAACAUAUUACAACAUAAUUAUUGAAAUUCAGAAAAGUGUUACAUAGUUAUGUAUUUCAAUCAGCAGUACAAAUAGGAGUACCAUCUGCUUCAUAAAGUAUACAUCCAGUUGAUGCAAGGCAACAAUUGCAUUUUGGGGUGAGGUGUUGAUCACCUGAAGAAGGGCAAGUCAUGUAUGCAACUGAAUCAUAGCAAAAUUGUGGGCAAAUUUUUUGUGCAUCAACAUUUUUCAGGUUGCCUCCUGAAAGAAUUGCACCUGGAUCAUAAACAAGAAAGAAAAAAUUACUCAAAUGAGCAAUCUCACAAAAGUGUAGCUUUCAUCUAUUUUUUAAUUUUUCUCACAUAAACUCGAGAUGUAUGCAUUAAGUUUAGGGGAAUAAAUUUAGUGCAAUAUAUUUCUAUAUCUUUUUUCGAACAAGAAUAUAUUUCUAUGUCUAUACAAAGUUUACUAUAAAUUGCUAAAAGAAACAAAAACAAUAUUUAGAAAGAAAGAGAGGUUAGUUCAAGAUUUACCACAAACGAAGACAAGAAGGAUAGUUCCAACCUUUAAAGCCAUUUUGUUGUUUUUGGUAAAAUUGGUGAAACUUAAGUCUCAUAUUUAUAGCAUAAAAUUUAAGAACAUACGUAUAAGAUAGGAAAUCGUCUGUUUAUUAUUGAAUUAAAAAAAUAUAAAGGAUAGUCGCAUGGAGAAGCUCUAAAGUCUAACUAAACUGCCGAAGCAAAAGUCAUAUCUUUAUCCUAAAUCCAUUGAUGAUAAAAUAUUAUCCUAUAAAUUCAAUAUGGUAUUAUAAGAAAUUUCUCUAUGCAUUUACCUUUAUAAAAGAGAAUUUCAAAAAUCUGUUUUUUUUUUAAGAAAACAAAAUGAGAUAUAUUAAAACUGACAUAGAAUUAUGUCCGGUAUAAGGUGUGCAAGAUAAAGAACAAGAAAAGACAAGAUAACAAAAACUAGGUAGCAAAACUCAUACUAUGGAGAGGAAUCAUGGGUCGAACCCCUUGUGAUUGUCGCUUCAUCGAUUUACAUAUACAAAUGAAAUGCAAACCAUAUUCGAGUGUAGAUUAGAUCAGAUGUGAUAACAUAAGUCUCUUUAAACUUUGCUAGAAGUCUCAAAUUCAACCGCUUGAAGAUUAGAAGCAACAACGUCAAAAUUUAAUUUUCUUUCAAAAAAAAACAUCAAAAUUUAAUUUGUUGAGAUAGCUUUGUCAUUAUUGUACUCCUAUAUGAUUCAAGAAUCGCAUAUAACAUCCAAUUAACCCUGAUCAUUUGAUUGAUGCCAAUAAUAAAACGAAGUGCAUGAAAAUAAUGACACCAUAAUCCCUAUAUAUAACAUACUCUCACCGUUUCAAAAUGAGUGUCGUUUUAACUAAAAAGAAUUGUUUUAAGAUGAAUGAUACUUUCGGUUUUUAAUGAAAUAAUAACUUUUUCUUUUCAAUUGUACCCUUCAAUUAAUAUUAUAUAUACUACUUCCAAAGUAUUAUUUUCUCUUCAAUGAAAAACAAACCAAUAAUUAAUUAAGAUAAUUUGGUAAAAUAACAUAUCCCUUUCUUUUAAUUAAUGCAUUUUUUAAUAUGUGUAUAAAAACAUUUUAAAAUUUGAAACGGGAAGGAGUAGUUUGUAUUUACCUCUAUCUCUCUCCUACCUUUUUAUCUCUUAUACUUUACAAUUCAAAAAAUACACGCAAACAGUUGACACCGUAUUUAACAUAAAUUAUUUGAUGUCAAAAUAUUAUUCCUCUAAAAUUGCUUUCAAAGUUUCGAUGAUACUCAUCCAUUUUUUCUUAUUUUCUUUUUACAAUUGUGUUUGUUUAUAUUUGACUCAAUGAAAAAUAGCAGUAGCUUAUAGAGGAAAACUUUGUGAUAAUACGUAAACUCAAAAGUCAAAUUCAAGCCUUCGCGCUUAAGGUACAUGUAAGAGCUGAUGCAUUUGAUUAUGAGAUUUGACAAUUUAAACAAGGAAUGACAAUUCCACGGUGUAGCAUAGGUGGCAGGUGGACCACUAAAUUAAUAAAUUUUAUUUUUGCAAAUUUACUACUAAAUGUAAAUUUUACCAACAGUCAAGUAAAAUAGUGAAAUGUCCUCGUGAGCUUAGUCCAGUUGGUAGGGACAAUGAAUAAAAUAUGCAAGAUCUGAGGUUCGAAAACCCGCCACCACCAAAAGAAAAAUAAUGAAAUUAAAUUGCCAUUAAUAAUAGGUGAAUAAACAUAAAACUUCUUGGUCAAAGAAGCCCGAUUCUUUUCUUAUAGUCACUAAUAGUUAAUGUAAGAUGAUGUUUUUUCCCAUCAUUUUGAGGUACUUGAUAACCAAUUGUUGCUUCAAUUUUUUGUUUCCUAGCAAAAAAACACAUUUCUUCUUUGUUUCCUAGCCGAACAUACUUACCACAAGGAGAAACACAAAGAUUAAAAAAAUUUGUGUUCCAAGCAUGAGUCGGCGUCCCAUAGACACGUAGCCAAGCUCCACGUUCGUAACGGAAGUCAUCCGGUGACCAUUAGUGCACCUCUGAAAGAAACAUGCUAAAAUAAUCAAGAGCUUCAUUAAAUACUUCCCAAAUAUCAACAUUGUUCCGGCUGCGAAGGAAAGUUCUAUCACCUCCCAUCGGAAUAACCUCCAAGUGACUAAAACAUGUGUCAUCCAUACGUUGCUGAAUUGAUAAAGUAGUUUCCCCCGAUGCAAUCAUCGCCACAAUACCAGAAGCAACCCAAUCUCUGUCAAUUGGAUCGGACUUGUACUCACGCACACAUGGAGUAUUAUGCGCAGCAAGCUUCGUAGGCACGUCGAAAUUAUCCAUCUCUUCCUCGGUCACCCUAUGUGUUCGCCCCUUGUCAUCAACAUUCAGAAAAAUAGUAUCUACCUUCUUCCCCUCCUUCGGCCUCCACUCCUCCGAUAGCUUCAAAAGCAGUGAAUCUCCCAUCUCCAUCUCCCUCCUCCUCCCUUUCGUGUUUCCUACCACGCCAUUUACCUUCACCUCCACUCAACCCACUCUAACAUUUUUUCUCCCUCCCCGCUUUUCCCAUUACCUACAAUCGGUGCUACUCCCUCACCCAUCCUCGCAUUUUUUUCUCCCUCCCCAAGACCCUGAACCACCUCUUUUUCCUCAACCGAAACCUCCUCCUUACGCCUAGACAGCUUGGAUACUACAAGCGGUUUCUUAUCAUUGUCCGCAAACUAUAAGAUGACCAAACCACACAUUAUUCAAAGCUUUCGACAAUUUGUCUGCAUUCAUCAAGCUUAUUCCUCUUGCUACCCUUUUCAUUUUGUAAAAAGCUACUUUGUUUUAUUAAAUUCUUAAUUAAAUCAUUAGGUGAUCAUAUGAAAUGACUCCAAAUGAACAAUUAAAGAAUAAUAUGAACUAAAGUAGGUUAAUCAUCUUAUAAAAAAAAGCUUGUAAAAAAAAAUCUUAUAAAAAAAGGUGAAUAUUAUUUUAUGGCGGUUUUUUUUUUUUUUUUAUAAAAUGAUGCUUAGUUAAAUUCAGAACUCGACCAUAUGUUAGAGUAGUUAUGUUCAAAUCCAAACCAAUCCAAAUAAAAAAUGUAUAUUUAAUUCAGAAAAAUCAAAAACUGCGUAAAAUCAAAUAUCAUUGGAUGUGAUUCUAUAUUUGUUUCUUCUAAAAACUGUCUGGUUCAAAUUAUAUUUUGGAUUGAUUUUUCAAAAACAAACCACACGCAUACACAUAUUCUAAUACUUAUUUUUUUUAUUGAUAUGAUAUAUUUCAUCAAUCUAUUAUUCAUUGAUUUUUAAUCUUUUUAAAAUUAUUUAUUAGUUUUCUUUUUACUUUUUUUUAAGGAAGUUUACUUUUUACUAUUUUACAUGUUUCAUGCAUAUUGGAACAUUUUUGUUCCGUAAUGUUCCCCAACAAAAAUUAUAUAACACCAUUAAAGUAUUAGCGCAUAUUUAUUUUGUUUUUGAAAGAAGUAUUAGCGCAUAUGGGGGUGAAAAACACCAUGAACUCAUAAAUCAAUAUCUAGGAUAACAAAAUAAAACAUAAACUAUAUUGCAUAUGCGUUUAAUCGUUUUUAAUUAGUAUUUAUCAGUUAACUUUUUGUUUCUCCUUCAAAAAAAAUCAAUUAAUUUUUUAUGGAUAAUUAUUAACAAUUAAUUAUCAAAUUUGAAAUUAUUUUCGGAUUCUCAUAAACCUAUAAAAUAAGGCUCAUUCAAUAAUAAAAAACAGCACAAUCAAAUAUAUUUUAUUUAAUUUAUAUGUGGGGUCUGAAUUUUUAUUUCAAUUGCAAAAUCAAAAAGUUAGAAAAGGGUAGAAUCUCAACCAUUCAAAUUUUUUAUUAUUAUAUUUAAGGUCUAAAGGCCACCUUUCCCACGGUGGAAAAGGAUUCACGUUUCCCAUGGUAAAUAGUAUACCACAUUUAACUCAUCCUUAUAAAAUCGAUUUGUAAACGAUGCAGUUUUUUAUAAACUCUCUUUAGUCUGUUUUCAGUACAUUGUAUUACAUCUAGUAAUAUUGGAUUUAGUGCUUGAACAUAAAUAGCAUGUCGUUCAAAUCGAUAACUCUGAUACAAUAUUAAAUUACAUUGUUCUAGUGUAAUACUUUUGCAUUUAAGAAAGUUAAUUACAAAAUGUGAUUGCUCUCAAACUUAUAUGAAUGUUUGAGACCUUGCGUGCUAUACAAGUUGUUGUAAGUUUUAGAGGUUUCCAAAACCUUGUUUGAAAGGUAUUUCUCUUUCAAUCAAAAUCACUGAAGAAGUGAAGAUGUUUAUCAUACUGGUCUUGAAAAAUUGUUACAAUUAUGGAAACCUAUUUAUCAAUGGAAAAGAUUCCAUCGGGCUGGGGAUUUUUCGAAUUUCGAUUCUCAUGUAUUGAUGAUCUUAGAAGCGUCUGGUCGAAUGGUGCUUGGAACUUGAAUCCGGGUCUGUUGCGUUUAUUUCGUUGGUCACCUGAUUUUAAUCCAUUUAAUCAUAAUCAAACUCAUAGCCAGGUAUGGGUGCGUUUUCAUUAUCUUCCUCUGGAAUAUUGGCAUCCGAGAAUCCUUUUCGAGAUUGCAGGGACUAUUGGCACACCUAUUUUUAAUUGAUGAAAGAAAAAAAAAGUUUUAGAGGUCUCCACAGUGAAAUCGCAACUGCAAAUUGCAGCAGCAAUAUAGAACCCUGAUCUCAAAUUCUGAACCAUUAAAACAUAUAUAAAGAAGAAAAUAGAAUAGGUAAAGCAUGUAAAUUUUACAAACAAUCUAGUAAAAUAAUGAAAUUAAAUUGCCACUAAUAAUUAGUUGCAUUAUCAUAAAACAUCAUAGUCAAAGAAGCCCCAUUCUUCUCUUAUAGUCACUAAUGGUUAAUGUAAGAUGAUGUUUUCUCCCAUCAUUUUCAGGUAUUUGAUAACCAAUUGUUGCUUCAAUUUUUUGUUUCCUUGCAAAAAACACAUUUCUUCUUUGUUCUUCUCCACUACCAAACUUCUGAAGUUCAGCCAAUGAAAUUUGCAACUCAAAAUCAUGCAACAUAUUUGAUUCUGUUUCAACAUCCACAGGAGCAAUAGUAUCAGUCAACUUUCCUGCAUUAGCAGCUUCUUUCAAUGAUUCUUUUGUAGCCUCGACAUCGACUAUUUUAUCGUCCUUUUCUUCUUUACCAUCUUCUUCUUUACUCUCUUUACCUUGAUCUUCAUUGUAGUAGUUUCUUGACCUUGUCCACCUUCUAGAGAAAGGAUCAUACCCUUCCUCUCCCGCUUUCAAAUUCGCAUUCAUCAUAUUUCUAUGCUCGGACAGGUUUUUAUAAUUCUCAACACGAUUCUUUCUGUUCAUCUCCUCAAGCCUAAUAGCCUUAACAUUGUUCUCUCUCGCACGACGCAAUGCUUCCAAUUCUGCCAACUUUGUUUGAAUCCUCUCCAUCCAUGCCUCGUCGUUUUUACUUUCCGCUAAUUCAAACUCCCUCUUUAACUUAUCCUUUUCGACCGCAACAUUCAACGGCCUAGAAGGUGCAGUUUUUUUCUCCUCCAACAUUUGUUUCACUGUGGCGGCCGAGUAAACAUAUGUGUUUGUUUUUCUUAUAGCUUCCUUCUUUUCGAUUAUAUUUACCUUACUUGGCAUAUAGCUACAUGUUCUCUCGACUUCUCUAAUCCAAUGUUUGAACUCUUUCUCUAAUGGUGCAGAUUCAGAAACUACAGCAACUUGAAUUUUUUUAGCAGAAUUUUCACUUCCCCAAACACAGACUAAGUACUUAUGAGUCACUUUAUUUUCUACUUUGUAGUGUUUAUUAGGAUUACCACACUCAACUUUUUGAACCAUGCAGAGUCUAUAAACAGGUACAUUUUCCGAUUUUCCUAUACCAACUCUCACAAAACAACCAACUAUUAGUUCCUCAAAAAAUGGUUCAUUCAACCAUUUCACAAGCCUUGACCUCUUUAUGGUAAUUUCUUUUAUAUCUUCAAACGUCGGUUUAUCUAAAUCAUCCAUGUUCUUAUCAUCAUCACUGUCAACUAGUUCGCCGUCAUCAGAAGAAGAUUCUUUUUCACUUUCAGAUCUCACAACACUUUCACUUUCACUUGAGCUACUUGGACUAGUUUCUAAUGUUUCUGUCUUCUUUUUCUUCACUUCUGAUUUUCCAUGAUUGUCUGUGACUUGUUGCUUCAUUCUUUUCGCGCGCAAUUCGCUUAAGGCAUCGCCUUUUGCAGCUGUUUUCUCGGCAUUUCUAGCUGAUGAACGAAUCUUGGUAGAUGAAGGAAGAGGUGAUGAUUGAUUAUUAGAACUAGAAGCUCUUGCAGAUGAAUUAUUUUUUUCUCUCUUCAUUCUCAUGAUCAUUUUCUCUUUCACCUCUUUAUCGCCUUUUUUGGUUGCUCUUUCAGAUAAAAUCAUUUCUCUUUCGAGUUCUGUCAUCUUAGCAAGCCUUUUUUUGUCAUCUUCAUUCUUGUAAAGAUCACCACCAAUACCCUCAGAUUCUUCACUGCUAUCAUCUUCUCUAACACCAUCUUCACGAUCCGUCGAUUCAAUACCUUCUCCUUUGUUUUUGUCUUCAUUGCUACCUCUUUUGGUAGUUUCCAAUUCUAACCUCUUCUUCAAUGGAACUUGAGAUGUAAUUGUUUUUGGCCUUUUGUUUCCAUUACCAACACCUUUAUCAGAAUCUUCCUCUUUGGAAUCACUUUCAUUAUCAGAUAAUGAUGCAUCCUCGUGUUUCUGUCUCGUGUUUCGAAGCUUUUGUCGCUUUGUCACACCUGCUGCCUCUAGAAGCAAGUUUUCCAAGUCUGACAUCCUCUCUUUUCUUGUGGUGUGCAGUUCAAGUUAUUAUAUAUAUAUCAGUUUUCCUGUUAUGCAAGACAUCCACAAAUAUGCAAUUAGUUUUUUGUUUUGGAGUUUCGAAAAUCAUUGAAAUAAACUUCUUUCUACUUGAUUAUAAUGAAUGCCAUCUAGUUUGAAACGAUAUCUUACUCAUAAUAUCUAACUACAGAGACUAAUCUCUUAAGAUAACUAUGAUCAAUAUAACGAUUUGACUUCUCUCAACAUAUAUUUUUCUAUACACACUCAUCGGGGGGGAACCGCUAACCAAAUGCAUAUAUACUAAUAAAUAAAUUUAGGCUUUCCUAGACAUUAGUAUUGAAGUUGGAUUUUAUUCAUGUACAUUAUCCAUGUAAAUAUUUUUUUGCAAAUUUAAUCUAUCAUAAUUCUCAGAUUCUUCAAAAAUAUUUAACAUUAAUCAAAAUUACUUUUAAAUCACCUAUAUAUAUUUGAUUGCAAUUGUUUGACAAUAUCAAAAUUAAACACUGAACAUAUAUAUAAAUGUUGCAAUAAAUAUGAAACAUUGGCCUUUUAAAGUUCAACGGUGAUCAUAAUAUCAUAAUUACAUCUAAAGUCACACGUAUGAUCGAUUGUAAUUUUUUGACGGUGUCAAAAUUUAACAUUGAAGUAUAUAGAAAUGUUGCAAUAUAUACAUGCAUUCAAUAAAAGUGAAGCAGAUAUGGCAAAAAAGAAAGAAUAAUGAAAGAUAAACGAACCUUAGCCAGAGGCAAAUGUGUAAUGGAAUACCAAGCUCCCAAGGAAUGGCUCAGGUAAUCAAAUUCAACAUAUAAAGUAAAAGCUAAGUUGAUGGUUUGUGUCCUUUGAGUGGAUACCUUUUGUUGUGUUUCAGUCUUCUGUAGAGAUUUGAGAUACGAAAUUCAUGCAAUCAAAACUCAGUAAAAUAAUUAGAACUCACUAUUUCUGGAAACUAACUCCUAUAGUUACGUACAAAUUCCACACAUAUUGUUUGACUGCUUCUUCCAACAAAAUAGUGUAUUUUUUUUCGGUAGAUAGACGAAAUGGCAAAGUCAUUAUAAACUCACACAUACAAGUGGAGGUACCGGGGUUCGAACCCCUGUCAUGGUAUCUAGCCUAACAAUUUCGGCAUUAUUCCAGUUGAACUAGGACGUCUGGAUAAAAUAAAUAGUGUAUUUUCUAAUGGGGUUUUCGGUGCAUGUUUGUAUUACAGAAAUUAUAUGACAUUUUAUUCUCAACAUUAUUAUCAUCAUGUUAUAUAAAAUUCUAUCAGUUUUUAUUGUUGAAUUGUUGAAUUAGAUUGUGGACUCCGUUUGUAGUGUAUUUUGUUUAAGAAAAGUUUAGAUUGAAAAAAUACUAUUGGAACACACCAUUUAGGUAACAAUACGGAAACCUACACUAUUCACCAUAUUUGUACGGUGAAAAAAGUUUUUUGCUGUCACUUUAUUUUGUUUUAUGUUUUGUUCGACAAAACUUAUUUUUUAAUAUAAAUGAGGAUUUUUGUAACACAAAAUUUGAGUUGAAAAGUGUAUGUGUCUCAUUAUUGUUAAAACGGUGUGUUAUUAGCUGAGUUGCGUGCUAUCAGAUGCGACUGACAUCGUUCAUAUUAGAGAUUAUUUACAUGGAAAUGGAAAUACAACAUUGGUGCAUGUUCUUAGGAACAAAAUAUGUGUGCAGAUUUUAUGGCUAAGGAAUGAUCAAAUGCAAGGUGCUCUGCUCACAUGCUCCGCCAGGCAUGGAAUCUCUUAUCCUGAGAGAUAAGCUUGAAACUUAAUUUUGUUUUUCCCUCUUUUUUUCUUUUUUUGCCUCGUUACAUUGUAACACUACCAAAAAAAAUUAAAACGCUGUGUUCCGAUAGCAUUGCCGAUAGAAAUUAUGCAUGCCAUAUAAGCACAAUGUUUUGUUUAAUGAAAGUUUAAUUCGUCUUAAUAAAAAUACUCACUCCGAUCUAAAUUAUAAGCAAAAAUUAUAUUUUCAGAUUUGUUUAAUUGAUGUAUCUCAUCUAUAUUAUAAACUAGAUACAUCAAUUAUUCAAUAAAUUUCAAAAAUUGAGACAAGAGGGAGUACAUGCUAAAUAAGUACAAUAUUUUAGCUGUCUAUUAACUAUAAUUUUUCAUUCUUGCCCGAAAAAUAAAAAUCUAUAAUUUUUCAUAAAAUAAAAAAAAACUAUUGAAACCAAAUGAUUGUACUCAAAUGAUUGAUAAACUACACCAAAUGACGAAUUGUUCAAAAGAAAUCAAGUUCAAUUAAUGAGAUGUAAGUUGAAGAACUUAUCGGAAUAAGUUUUGGCGUGAGUAUGUGGAUAUGAGGGAAUUUGAAUUUGUUGUAGAUGAAGGCAUUUCAGAGACAAUAAAAAUAGUAAAUAUAUCAUAUUCUCUCAAAAAAAUAAAAAAGUUAAUAUAUCAUAUAGCAUCAUAUCAACCAAUGAUAAAUAUAAAAAAGUAAAGCUUCAAAGACAACUCAUAAUUAAAACCAUUCAUUGAUAUCAACAAAUGAUAAAAAUCAAAAUGUAAAGCAGCUGACCUCAAGAGCCUGAAAAAAACCAGUCCAAGCAAAGCUGAAACCGAAUCUCCUGUUCAAAUAAGCAUCCAUUAAUGUAAAUAAUGUGUCUACCUAUUUACAAAAAAUCUAUAAGAAUACAUUCUAUUCAACCUUUGCAAAUGGUUAUUCAUUUCCUUUCUUUUCCUUUCCACAAACAACAAGAAACACUUUAAAAAUAACAUAAAGGAGACUUAUUUCCAUCUUUUCUCUCUUUUACCAUUGUUUUGAACAACUAGAUUUAACUGGCCGGGGAAAUUCCAUCUUCCUGCAAUCUAUUGUCUCUCAUUAGUGCUGCCAGGUGCUUCAAAGCAUGUGAAAUUUCAUCAGAACUAGGAUGUGACAUAUCACUGGCGACAAACAAGUUGGUCGUUUUGUCAACUACAAUCCAGCUACACCCGGGCGUUUUUUGAACUUCAUUCUGUACCAUUGUUCUCCUUAGAGAUUUAGCUUCAUCCCAAUGUCCUGAUCCAGCAUGCAUAUUAUAAAGUAGUACAUAUGGAGAAGAAUUUUGCGGUUCUAACUCGAUAAGUUUCUCAGCCGCUCUCAGUCCCCUUUUUUCAUCUCCAUGUAUACUGCAAGCACCCAAUAAAUUAGCCCAAAUCAUUGCAUUGGGUUCCACAUCUAGUUUGUCAAUGAACUCUUCAGCUUCUUCAAGAAAACCACAUCGACCAAGUAGAUCAACCAUGCAAGCGUGGUGAUCUACUCUCGGGUGAAUGCUGUAAUAGUUUACCAUGUUGUCAAAAAUUUGUCGACCCUCAGAAACCAGCCCUGCAUGACUACAGGCAGUGAGCACUCCAAGGAAUGUGACAUCAUCCGGUGAAACAGAUGAUAAAGUCAUCUCAUCAAAGACCUUCAGUGCCCUUUCCGCAUAACCAUUUUUCGCAAACCCAACAAUCAUUGAAUUCCAAGAAAUCACAUCUUUUUUUAUAGGCAAUUCUUCGAAAACUUUUGCAGCACUUUUUACAUCUCCGCAUUUAGCAUACAUAUCUACAAGGGCACUGCUGGUUAAUUCAUCUAAGUCAAAACCAGUAUGGAAAAUCAGAGAAUGUAUCUCUUGACCGUCUUGCAGCGAGGAUAAGAGGGCACAGGCUCGCAGAACGGUAACAAAUGUUGCUUGGUCUGGUAAGAUAUUGUUGUCACGCAUUUCUCGGUACAAGUUUAAGGCCUGAUCACUGCAAUCAUUUUGAGUAUGUCCAGAUAUUAAAGCUGUCCACAGCACAAUGCUUUUAAGGUUAGAUAACUCCGAGAAAAGAAUGUUCCCUUCAGCCAACUUCUGUGAAUCCAUAUACAUGCCCAACAAAGAGGUACCUAAGAAUUCACUACCACAUAAAAGACCAUUCUUUAAUAUAGCACAAUGAAUCUGCAUCCCUAAAAUCACCUUAGGAGACUCCUUACAACAAUCUAUGAGGGAGGCAAAUGUGAUUUCAGAUGGCUUCAAUCCCAAUAUCUGCAUCUCAUGCAGAAGAUUAAUUGCUUCUUUUGUAUCUUUUAUAGCAUAUCCUGCGAUCAGAGCAUUCAUUGAGACCACACUCCACUCGGGCAUGCAAGAAUAAAUUUUACGCGCAUCUUCGAUUCCCCCACACUUGGAAUACAUGUCAAUAAGAGAGCUUCCAGCGAAAAGGUUUGUGUCUAAACCCAACUUAACUGAAAGGCCAUGGAAUUGCAGUCCUGCUUCUAGUACCUUAAUAUUUCCACAAGCACUGAGAAUACUGGCCAUGCAUACCUCGUCCGGUACAACGCCAUGUCGAUUCAUUCUCCGAAACAUGUUGAAAGCUUCAGUUUCCUCUUCUUCUUGCACGUAUCCAACAAGAAUAGCAUUCCACGAAAUAUUAUCUCGAUAUUUCAUGCGCUCAAAUUGUUUUCUAGCUUCCUUCAAAGCCCCAGCCUUAGCAUACAUAUCCACCAAUGCAUUGUUCACGCAUAAAUUAUCCGUAAACCUUUUCUUGAUAAUAGUUGAAUGCAACUGGCGACCGAUAUCUAAGAAAUCAAAGCACGCACAUGAACUCAAAAUGCUAGAGUAUGUAAACUCAUCCGGGUCAUUACCACACCCCAUCAUCUCAGAGAACAACUCCAUAACAUCACUUAAACAACCAUUCUGCGCAUAAACACCAAGAAUGGUAUUCCACAUAACAACAUUUCUAUCACACACAACAUCAAACACUUUCUUCGCAUCACACAGCAUUUCACAUUUCCCAUACAUAUUAAUCAACGAACUCGCCACAUAAACACUCGACUCAAACCCUAAUUUAACCGCCUCCCCAUGAACCAACAAACCACACCCCAAAUCACCCAAACCAGCAACCGCACUCAAAACACUCGCCAAUGUAGACCUCGACGAUAUCACACCAUUCAUCCUCAUUUUUCGAUAAAACUCAACCGCCUCCUUAUGAUAACCUCUCUUACCAUGACCAGAAAUCAUAACAUUCCACGCAACAACAUUACCACAACCAUCCAUCUCAUCAAACAAUUCACAUGCGUGAUCCAACUUCCCUAAAUUCACACACGCAUUCAAAACCGUCACAAUCACCAAUUCAUCCAAAACAAAACCACUUUGCAUUUCAUCAAACAGUUGGAGUGCGUCAUCAAACAUCCCAACACGAACAUAACCACCAAUUAAAGCAGUAAAUGUAGCUGUGUCGAGAUUGUCUAACCUCGACACAGAAUUGAAUAAUGUUCGAGCGGAGUUCAAACAUUUGCAUUUAGCGUAGAAAUGAAUGAGGUGACGUGUGAGUAACGUAUCGGAUUCGAAUCCGUUUUUAAUUAUGGAAGUAUGAACUGAUGUACCGAACUCGAGGUUUUCGAGUUUUGUACAUGAUGAUAAUGUUGUUGAGAAUGAGUUUAUUAAUGAGGUGUAAGUUUGUGGAAGGCGGGAGUAUGUGGAAAUGAGGGAAUUUGAAUUUGAGUUGGUUGUAACGGUUUGGAGUGGCAAGUGGGUAUUGGAGUGAAUGAGUUUGGGAAAUUGGUUGGUUUUGAAGAAUUGGGAAAUUGGAGAGUGAAUGAUGAAGCUCAAAUGAUGAGUAGUGAGUAAACAUGUUGCUCUAACUGCUACGCGCAUCUAUGUUGUAUCUGCUGUAGGUGAGUAAACAUUCGUUUGUUUGAUGUGUUCACAAAAUCACAGCUCCUUUUUCUCGGCGGCGGGUAUUCGUUUUUCCCCUAAUGCAGCCGCACGAGUUUAUGACUUGAUGUAGCGAAUAAUAGUCAUUUUGGUGGCACAAUGAUCGAUCGAAAUUUCAAAAUACUCAUUAAUAAUACUUUUUUUUUUUUUUGUCAAGUAGCCUAGAGCUAGAGCUCACACAUUUUAAUUGUGGAGAAGUGAGGUGUCCGGGGUUCGAACCCCGGCCCCUGCAUAUAAUAUGCAAUAUCCCUAUCAACUGAGCUAAGCUCACGGGGAUACAGAUGAAAAUAAUUUUUGAUUAAUAUUGAUUAUAACAGAUUUUUUUUUGUGUAAACAAAACAAAAAAAGAACAAAAAAUAGAGCAAACCUCUCAAAAGGAUAAUUCGAGCCGCAUCAUUUUAGAGGAGAUUCUUGAGGUUUAUCGGAGGAGACUCAUGCCAAAGAAACUCAAGGUCAGAAGAGGCACCAAGCUUGAGAAAAAAAAAAUCCGUACAUUGAUUAAUGGUAACAUUUUCUUACUCCAAUAAAUCUUUUAUGUCUUGGAUUAGAACAAACAUAAGCAUGAAACCUCAUUAUUGGGGAUGGUGAUACAAUGUAAAGAAUCAGAGUAGCAAACAAAAUCAGUAAUACCCAUUUCUUUGGCCAACAAAAGACCCUUAUAGAUGGCAUAGAGCUCAGCAUACAAGAUAUCAGAUGAAUUUUGAAUGUAUCUAGAAAAGCCUGACAAGAAAAAACCUGCAUAAUUUCUUAAAAUUCUUCCAUAACCUGCUCUUAUAGGAGAUCCAAGGCAACUUCCAUCAACAUUAACGAUGACACAAAAAUGAUUAUUGUUGCUCCACUUGAUGAAUUUGUCUUCAUCAAUAGUACUUCAAAUGGAAGGAUAAGAAGCUUUGAGGCUAUCAACCAUACUUUGAAUGUUGAAGGAUAAUUUAGUGUUCGACCAGUUCUAGUUUCCUAAGCACAGUUAUGACAAUAAAUAUUUAUGAGGAUUGAUACGAGAAAAUAAAUAAGAAUAUUGAAUGAUUAUUUAAAAAAAAAAAAAGAAGGUAUAUUAACUCUGAUAUGACAUUAUUAACGAACAUUUUAACACGAGAGACUAUUUUGAUUAAUGGAAUAAAAAAUCAAUGACUAUUUUGGAAUUCCGAUAGAGAAAUUAUAGCGAAAUCCGCAAGCGCACGGUUCUAUCGAAGUAGUAAAAUAUCGUUCCACGGGGAGUUGUUGUAAUUACCGAUUUUCUUUCUAAUUAUGAUUAGCUGAAAAGAUCAAAGUUUAGAGGUUUAACAAAGCGUUGGAAUAAAAUUUAGAAAUUAAAAGCGGAUCGGGAUUAUUAGUUCGUCAUAUGACAAAUCACUCUCAAUCCAAACCUAUAUUUUCCUCUUAUGUUAGAUUUAUUUUCUAAAGAUAGGUUUCUCUAAGGUAUUUCAUAACUCCUUUCGGUUUCCAUGAAUGUAUUUCGAUAACAACCACGCUUAUUCUCAUGGUUGAUUGUUAUUGAAAUCUUAAGAACGAAACCCUAAAAAUCUCAAUACUUCACAAAACUAUUCAUCUGGGGUGUUCCCAUCAAGUUUUGUGUUGUCUUGUCUAAUCACAUUUGUUCCAACAUCAAAAUUCAUCUUUCGAUCCAUCGUUUGAUAUUUCAGAUGAUGAAAUAAUAGUUAUUGGACUUCACCUUUCGGUCCAUCGUUCAAUACUUUUUAUUGAAUUUAAAAACUAUGUGAUUAGAUUAGAAAAUAGACCAACAUAAGAGUAGGUUCUAUGCUUGGUUUGAUAGGAUUUAAGCUAUUAGACUCAUCCAACAAUCCCAAGACCUAUAGAUCUACUCACUCGUGGUCUUGGUAGAUGAAGAAAUUAAAUUGACGGAAUAGAUAGACAUGGAAGUAGAUUGCUGAAUGUAAAAGUGCAGAAUUGUAAAGAACAAGGAAUUAAAGAACAAGAAAAUAAAGCUUUGAUCAAUUUGAUUCAAUGGAAAACAACUAUCACAGAUAUUUCAAGCUUCAAAGAUGAAUAACAAGUAUGAUGGCUGCUCAAUUUAUAGCCCCAAGACUAGCCUAAACCCUAGAAAAGGUAUUAACAAUGCAUUACAAGGCAACCCAUGGGCUUUUAAGUUAAAAAUAUCACUAAACAAGGCACCUGAAACCACGCACGGUCGUGCUUGCAAGGCACACGACAGUGCUUGGUGAAAUCGCAAAAGAAGCAAAGGGAGUACUAGAAUCGCGCACGGCCGUGUGUAGCUGAGCACAGACCGUGUGCAGCUCUCGGCGUUGUGGCACAUGGUUUGGUAACAGGGGUGCACGGUCAGUGCAGUGGCAGGCACGACCGUGCGCGAUAAAUAGGCAGAAAAAUCUUCAUAUUUUGCUCCUCAGUCAGCCUUGAAUCAUGCUUAAAUCCUUUCUUUCCCUAACCAUGCUUCUAAAUCCCUUCUUUUGCUCAAAGACUCGAUAUUUCAUCAUAUUUGAACCUAAAAUAAAAACAAACAAAUUUGAAAUACCAAAGUUCUAAAAAGAAAUUAAAACACAUAAAAUUCUACUAAAAUAAACACUUAAAAACCACCUAAUUAUUGACUUAUCAAAAAACUAUAAUGGUCACCCGUUGAACCAAAAUAACUCUUACCCAUUAUUUAUCUUUAAGUUCAAUUUUAAUGCGCAAAAGUUUUAACAUGGUCAAUAAAUCACACACAAUUCACACCAUCAGAAUCAUGUGUUUGUCUUAAGCUAUGGUUUAGAUAAAAUAAAAGUUAGACGUUUUAAAAACGCUAUGAACAUUGUCUUUAUAACAUUUUCUUUUAACACACAUUUUUUUAUUUGCGAAAAUCAUGUAGGUCUUACAAGUUUAUGUGAUAUCCAUUUAAAAAGUGUAAAACUCACAUGAACUGCAUCCAAUAAGAGUGGGUGUUAAAAAAGAGUGCCUAAACACUCUCAAAACAGGAUAGGACCAAACCUUAUUUCAUUCCUCUAUAUUUAUUCUUAAGCAAGCUCCAAAAUCACGUAGUUAAGACAUCAUAUUUUUGCGAAAUACUAAAAGCUCGUUGCAAUAAGACAACCACUCUUAUUAACUAAUCAUGCUAAAGAGAGAAAAUCAUGAACAAUAUGAAAAGUCUUCAGACUAAUAGGUAAAUUCAAACUUAACUUUGCAAAUAUGUCUGCUACUUAGUUGGCUACAUGUUGAAUUUAUAGUCACAAAACUUAGAAAGCAAUCCACCAAUAUGUGAAAUAAUCAUUUGGUAAGAAACAGAUCUUCUGAGUUUAAUUGUCUCAUCAUUUAGCUCUUCACAAGUAACCAGAAAAUGAUCAUAUGUUAAGAUAGAUUCUAUCCGAAGAGAGUUUUGCUCAUCUUUCUCAUAGUUUGCAUUUGGAAUUUUGAAAAGGUUUUUAGUUGCUUUUAUAAAAACCAAUUAAAAAUUCUAUUUUAUUACUAUGUUUUAUAUAUAUAAAAAAAAAGUGUGAAGUGUCAUCUGAUGUCAAGAGAGCUUUUACAUUACUCACAUAAAUAUCCUAAAACAUCUGAAUUUCAAGUAAAUAAACUCAUAAUACAAGACUUGGAUUGCCUUGAUCUAUAUUUUUCUUUUUGCCUUGUAAAUUAUCAAAACAUAAUUAUAUUCACAUGCACAUGCACACUAGUUCAUGUAAUUUUACACCAUCUCCAAAUUCUUCACUCUAGUAAAAAAGUUGGUUGUGUUUGAAGCUUCUUUAUCUUUCUCCUGUUUGCUCUGGGGUCAACCCUCCCUUUCCACAGCUGGGGCAACUGAUCAACCCAAAUCCUUGGCAGCCAAAGCAUCUAUACAAUUAUACUAGUGUAUUAGGAAGGUUAAAUAUAUUUUUAAUCUUUAUAAAAUAUAUAUCUAUUAAGUUUAGUUUCUAAAACAGUUAUUGACACAUCACAAUACUAGUCCAUGUUUUGUGUCACGGUAAAUAUGUUAAAAUCACGAUAAUUUAUUGUUAUUUUCCAGAAACCACAUUUAUAGCUUUUGCAAAAUCACGGUAGAUUACUAUCAUACCAAAGAUAAUGCAAGGGAGAAGAACUUACUUCCACCGUUCAAACACAUUUCCAUUCUUUUUAUUCUUUCCUGAUCCCUGUAAAAGUCCAAAUUAAACAAUCAUUCUAAUUAAAAACAUAGCUGCAAUGGCAAUAUAUGAAAAUAAUCAUUUUUACUAAUGUAUAAUUGUUUAGGAUUUAAUUUGUAGACAUUUCAUAAAUAAUAAUAAUAGGCAGAUGCUACUCACACCCCAAAAAACAAGUUACACCUCCGACUGACUAAUAUAUCCUUUAACUAAAAUAAAAAUUUCAAAUUAAUCUAAAAUUCUUUCAUCCAUCGCUUAAUCACUGAAACCUAACGUAAACCUAAUUCACAUAUUCCUCCUUUCAAACACACACACACACACACACACACCGUGUUUUUGAAACUUCCAAACCUAAUUCACAUAUUGGCUAAUCCGUAAACUUAAUUUACAUUAACCUAAUUUCACAUAUUGCGUGCACAGAGUCUCUCUGAAAUCAACUAUCUUAGCUAAUCCGUAAACUUAAUUUACAUUAACCUCUUUAAUUGUACAUUUGUAAACUAAAUUUACAUUAACCCUCUUAUAUAUAUAUAUAUAUAGGACAUAUCAAGUGAGAGGACUUUUAUAAUGAGAGAUGAGAGUGUUCAAUUGUGGCCCUUAGAUUAAUCUUUAUGGUAAUACUUAAUUUUGGCAAUAGCAUCCUAUUCUUUCUGACCUCUGGUUUCCUUCGUGUCUUUUCCGUUAUUUUUUUUAGCGAUCAUUCUUCCUUACGAACAAAAAAAUAAUUCUUCUUUGAUACUGUUGCGAUUCUUUCUUUUAGAUCUAACAUUUUCGGUUCUUGAGCAAGGCUGAUUCUUAUUCAACUUUAAUUUCUCUAUAAUAAAAAUCAUGCUUUUAAUCAAAUUGUCUAUCGAAUCUAAACAAAUUAGAGUCACAGCUGUUUGAAUUUAACCCUUUUCCAAAAUUGAAUUUUAUGGCUAAGCAACCUGUUUUCUUUCACGAUUGGGAGACGAAAGUGGUUCUGGAACAGAAAGAAGCGUGAGAGACCACGUAAGUUUGAAUUUAACCCUGACCAAAAAAACCCCAAAAAAUGGGUCUUUUUAUUUACAAUGGUGAUAGGGAAGGAUUUUGUUUUGACCAAAUGAUGAAAUUAAGACCAUGAAAAUAAGAAGAGACACAAAAAGAACCUGUAGAAGUUACACAGAGAGAGAAAGACGAAGUGGAGAAGAAGAAGUGUAUAGGUUGCACUACUUGACCCAUUUUAAAGAGCAUUUUAAUCUCAGCCUUUGAUUUAAAUCCAACGGUCGAAAUUAAUUCCUCUCAUCUCUCAUUAUAACUACUCCUCUCACUUGAUAUGUCCUCAUAUAUAUAUAUAUAUAUAUAUAUAUAUAUAUAAACUUAAUUUACAUUAACCUAAAUUGAACAUAAGUAAACUGAAUUCACACUAACCUCUUAUAUACAUACGUAAACUUAAUUUACAUUAACCUAAAUUAAACAUACGUAAAUUGAAUUUACAUUGACGUAGCUUGAACAUACGUAAACUAAAUUUACACUAACUCUCUGUAAACUGAAAUUACACUAACCCUCUUAUAUAAAUACGUAAACUUAAUUUACAUUAACCUAAAUUGAUCAUAAGUAAACUGAAUUGACGCUAACAUCUUAUAUACACAUGUAAACUUAAUUUACAUUAACAUAAAUUAAACAUACGUAAAUUGAAUUUACAUUAACGUAGAUUGAACAUAGAUUGAACAUACGUAAACUAAAUUUACAAUAACCGUAAACUGAAAUUAUACUAACCCUCUUAUAUAAAUAUGUAAACUUAAUUUACAUUAACCUAAAUUGAACAUAAGUAAACUGAAUUGACACUAACCUCUUAUAUACACACGUAAACUUAAUUUACAUUAACCUAGAUUGAACGUAAGUAAACUGAAUUUACAUUAACCUAAAUUGAACAUAAGUAAACUGAAUUUACAUUAACCUAAAUUGAACAUACAUAAACUGAAUUUACAUUAACCUACACUAACCUCUCAUAUAGAUACGUAAACUUAAUUUACACUAACCUCUCACUAAGUGAAAUCAAAUUGCGGUUAACACGUGCAUAUCUCAUACCAAAACAAAUAUAAACUCUUAGAAAAUGAAAUUUAUGAAUAGAUUACAGAUCAAUGACAAAGAUGUUGAUUCAGAUCUUGGUUGCACAUCUAUGAUGAUUUGUGGAUGAAAGGGGUGAGAAUUUAGAAUGAUCAUAAAAGAUGAGUUUUUAGAAAUUUACUUGAACAGAGCAAUUUUGAUAUUAUUGUAAAAUUUUAAAUAAAUUUGGAUAUAACUAGAAUUAUAUAGGGUGAGACUAGCAAAGAGUCAUAAUAAUACUACCUUACAUCCUGGACAUUCGAUGGCCCCUUUGCCUUCGCAACUUUUACAGCUUUUAAAAAAUAUCUACACAACAGCAAUGAAACAUGAAAAAUCAACAACAAAAGCACCCAAUUAAUAUGGCAAUAUUAGUAAGAUAAGGUUUAAAAGACAAUACAUAUUGUGCAAGCACACAAUUUAAGUCGAGAAUCGAAUUAAGAUUCUUUCGAACAAUUUGUAAGGAGAUCCAUCCCAAUCACUUGGUUAACGGAAAAAGAUUAUUUAAAAAAUAUGGAACCUUCUAAUCAUAUAAUUUGGAAACUCUAGCGUGGAGUUUGUGCAAAGAUAAACAAAUAAGAUUGUUCAUGAUCUUGCUAAAGUGGCCAUAUAUACCGUUAGUGUUAUAAUUAAUGCCGAUGAUACUUAGCAAGAUAAUGUUUGAUUGUUAUCGUUGUACGAAAUUAUAAUGAUUAAAUUUUAAUUAUUGAAAUGCUAUAAAUAACAAUAUUUUCGUAAAAAAAAAAAAAAAAAAAAAAAAAAAAAAAAAAAAAAACAUAGUUUGUAUAAGCUAAAGUAUGCAAACCGAAUUAAAUGAGAAUCCUUUUGAAGCAGAAGUAGUGAUUGUGCUCUGUCUUCGUUGUAUACUUCUUGUUAGUGUGAUUGGUUGAAGUGGAACUUUAUGAAGAAAAGUUGGUGGAGCCGCAGCACCAUUGUAGCAACAAAAAGAGAUAGAGGACAUUUUUUUUCUUCCUGUGAAUGUGAUCAGUGGUUGUGUGUGUAUCUUGCAAAGAAAUGGAUAAUAAGAGGGUUUGUCACGUGUGGUUGUUCUUUUUCCUAGUUUACUUAAAUUGUUUUUAAUUUUAUAACGAGGAAACCAUCAAAUUAGUCCUUGUCUUUGCAAGUGAUUCUCAAAUUAGUCAUUGACUCUAUUAAUGUUUGGCAAAAGUUUUUCAAUUAAAUCCCUCGUCGUGUGAAAAAAAAAACAUAGAAACAUGGAUUUAAUUAAGAAACUUUUGACAAAGACAUGACUAUUUUAAAAUAUUACUAAAGUCAUAGACUAAUUUGAUAAUCACUUACAAGACAGACGGGGCCUAAAUUGGUGGUUUACACUUUUCAUAAUCCUAUCAAAGCCAAAGGUGCUUCAAACACUUUUGGUUUGAAAUGAAGUUGUUUUACUAUAUAUAUAAAAAAAAAAAACAUGAUAUUAAUUUUAAUAGAUUUUUUCACAAAAUUAUAAUUUUGAUAUCCAAAAAUUGAUCCAAACUAAACCUCAUCAAAUUGGAUCGGGUUGUAUUUUGCUAGAUGUCAUCCCAACCGAACCACUAAUAUUUACUUUUUUAGAUCGGGUGGCUUUUUGCCUCAAAUCGAUAUAAAUUGCCAAGUUAUCGUAAGUGGUUUUCACAUAGUUUAUGUUUUUAUUUAGCAUUUAUUUUCAUGAUUUCGGUGACUCAAUGCAUUGUAGUUUUGUUUGUCGUCUUAGUGCGACGUUUGUUUGUUUAAGAUUGACAGGUCUAGCUCAAUAAACUACAUAUUCAAUCGAUGACAAUAUCGUCGACAUUAUAGAUCCAGAAACAUGAAUAUGUUUGUCACUUAGAUUUUGUCAUAUUAUUUAUAGACAUGUUGUCGUUUUAUGAUUUGUCAAAUCAACCAAAAAAGUUGUGAUUUUUUUUUCCAGUGCAAAUGGAUAUGCGACAACAUAAGUAGAUUAAAAGGAAAAUAGUAUAAAGAACGGGGAGACAUAAAGUCUUACCUAGUCUAAAGUAAAAACAAUUAGCGCAGAUGGCUAAAACAAAAAACAAAAUACAUAACAAACAACACUAAAUGGUACAGUAACCACAAAUCACAAUCCGAACUAAAAAUCCACACACCAGUGCAGAAUCACAAAGGUGUAGGAUUCGACCACCAACAAGGAAUGAAAACCACACACCUACGACCCAUUGCGCUGCGACAAUAAGUCAUAGUUUUAAAAAUCAAACUGGUCAUCAAACCGACAAGAUUACUAAAUCACUGGUUGAACCGCGAGAAGAGUCUGAUGACUCAAUAGUAUCUUUUGGUCUCUAAAAACUAUUUUUCUUAUUGAAUUGUAUUAAACCGGUUGACUUGGUAUGUAAAAACUUAUAACACUUAUAAAAUCUUAGUAAAAUAACUUUAUAUAGUUUAAUUUAGGCUUAAUUAUAUAAAUGGUCCCUUAAAUAAUUAUGAGAUUUCAAUUUGGUCCCAUUAAUAAUUUUCGUUCCAUUUCGGUCCUUUAAAUUACCUCCGUCCAUCAUUUAAAUCCAUUCUGUUAACUUUUGUGAAAAACUGUUAACAUUCAUCUUCCAUUUCAUCACCUUCAUCGUAAAAUCCAGAAAAUUCAUCAUAUUCAUCACCAAAUCCAGAAAAAUUCAUCAUCUUCAUCAUCAAAUCCAUCAUAAAAUCCAGAAAAAUAAAAGAAACUCUAAAAUUAAAUGUAAAUUAGUAUUCAUCAUCAUCCAAAAUUAAAACAAAUUUAAACCCAUCAAUCUUCAAACAACAAUAACAAAUGAAAUUAAAUUAAAAUUCUGCAAAAUUCUUCAAACAUUAUGAAAAUGAUGAUAAACACAAUGAAUUUAUGAAAAACUGCAGCAACAACAACAGAGGCCAGGAAGUGCUUAAGGCAAGGAAUUACAAAUAGAGGCUAAAAUGACAAUAGCAGCUAAAGAAAACACAGGCUGCUAGCCAAACAAAACAUCAUCCAAACAGCCCACAAUUAAACACCCACACCAUUCGAAACCUGCUACUGCCACCAGCAAACCCCUCAGCAAAAGCCCCCAAACAACAUUAAAAUUUUAGUAUAACACACAAAAAUAGCACACCUAAACUUUAAUUCCUGAUGAACGCAAGAAUUGAAGGAAAAAAUGGGGAAAAUUUGUAGAUUUUUUUAUAAAAAAAAUAAAAAUUAAUUUGAAAUCAAAAUAAGUUUAUGACUCAAUGAUAAAGGUUCAAUAACAAGGAUCUUUACUCCAUUUUUUCAAACAAUGUUUCCAAGAACAACCUUAAAAUUCAUCUUCAUCUCCAAAUCUCUUCAAUUCGUAGAUCCCAUCAAACAACCACUCACUGCCAUAUUCUUUAACAUUUUACAGAUUCUUCUAAUUGUUGAUUGUGAUUGGUGGAAUUUCUACGAUUGCAAAUCCUUGAGGUUAGGGUUUGAAAAUUUGGGGAAAAGUUUUAAAGGUUAGAAUUUCUAUGAUUGUGAUUGUAAUUGGUUGAAUUUCUAUGAUUGUAAAUAGUUAAUUUGGGGAGGAAUUUCGCUUUCUGGAAUCAAGGAGAGGUGUGGGGUUGUUGUGGUGAGAAGAGAGACAAGGGAGAAAAGAUAAGUGAAGGGUUUGGGAAAAGGGGAUGGCGUCUGUUGUUAUUAUGAUGUUGGGAAAAGAGUUAAAUAUUUUUUUUGUAAGGAAGAGUUAUUUGUUGUUUUUAUUUAUGAGCUUAAACUUUGUCAAUUUGGGUUUAAUUUAAGUUUUUCUUUUCUUUUCUGGAUUUGAUAUUCAAGGUGAUGAAGAUGAUGAAUUUUUCUGGGUUUGCUGAUGAAUACGAUGAAUUUUCUGGAUUUUACGAUGAAGGUGAUGAAAUAGAAGAUGAAUGUUAACAGUUUUUCACAAAAGUUAACAUAAUGGAUUUAAAUGAUAGAGGGAUGUAACUUAAAAGACCAAAAUGGGACGAAAAUUAAUAAAUGGACCAAAUUGAAAUCUCAUAAUUAUUUAAAGGACCAUUUAUGUAAUUAAGCCUUUAAUUUAAUAAGAAUUUGGUUUUCAUUUUUAUUUUGAAAGUAAGAAUAUAAUAUUCAUAAAAGGCAUGUAUAUUUAUAAACAAAAUAAAGCAAGUAUUAAUUAAAAUUUAAUGUUCUUGUCAAAAAAUUAUACAACUUAAUGUUUUAAAAUCAAUUUGAAUAUGUGUAUAGCUAUGUAAAUAAAACAUGACAUAUAUGUUAUAAAAAAUGCUUAGUUCAGUAGCAUAGAGUUUUCUUGUUUAACUGAAUUGACAUGAGUUUGAUUCCCACACUUGCCACUUUUAUCAUAUGAUUUUUUUUAAAAAUGAACGCCGGCUUAUUAUCAUUGAACCGGUCCGCGUCGGAUUACACGAAUUUGACCGGUUUAAUAAAAGUUUGAUCGGUUCAACUAGACGGAUGGUUUGAUAUAAGGAAUGGAUCGGUAAUGUGUCCGGUUCAUGGUUCGGUUGGUUCAAUAAGACGGUUCGUCCGAUUUUUAAAACUUUGCAGUAAGCAUCCACAAUUAUUUAUAGCCAAAUCAAACACAAGCAACCCAAAAUCAAUUGAAAUCCAGACAAAGGAUGAUAAAUCAACGGGUCUGAGCACAAUAAAAAUUGGCACCAAUCAAAGCCCAAAUCAAGGGAUAGAAAAAUGACAGAGCUCCAUCCAUCGACAACACGUGAAGCAACCACGACGAAUACCAACAACAAUGACCCUCUGACAUGGAGGCGAUAUAUUUAAAAACAAAUCACCACCAACCAACAAAACAACGCCACCUCACAUCCCUUGAUAGAUUUUAAUGUCAACGAUGAUCAAGAGGACAAUUAGAGAAGGUUAGGAGGCUUUUGAGGCUUGUACGUUGAAAGGAACACAAUACGACAACAAUGACGUCUUGAAGCCAACAUGCUGCCGUUAAGAACACGACAGGAAACACCAUGGAUCUAGAAACUUAUAAUUGAGUCACACAAAACUAGAUCUCACCCACCAUAAGCCGUUGGCGCUGCAACAACCACAAAAAAUGAACAACAACCAUUAAUAGAAAACAAAGAGAACCACCACACUUCUCCAACAAAAACAAAUAGAGACCACUGCACAAAACUGUGCCAAAGAGAACCGACACAAGUGGGAUGUAGAUGUAUGGGCCAUCAUCGCACCACCAUCUACAUCUUGAAAGGAGAAAGUUUGGAUAAAAGGGUAGGUGUGUGCAAGUAAAAUGAGAGAGGUGACAGUCUAUUUGUUUUGGAGAGAGUACGUUUUCGAUAUAAAAAAUUAGUGAAGGAAUUGGACUUAAACCAUCCAUUUAAAUUUGGAUGAAUAAUCCAUCCAACUUAUUUUAAAGAUCCAAUAGAUCACCUAAAAUGAUAAUACAUGUCCUUUUGAUAAAAUUGGUUGACUUAGGUAUAAAUAAUUAUAUUAAUUAAUUUAAAAUAAAACAAAAAAAAUCUGGAAAAAGCUGAAUAUUUAAAUAAACGAAUAUUAAUUUAUAUUAAUUUUAAAAAGAAUUAUAUUAAUAUUAAUUUAAAAUAUCAAUAUAAAUUAAUUUAUAUUAAUAUAUAAAUUAAAUUCAUAAUAAAAACUGAAUAUUAAUUUCAAUUCUUAAAUGUCUCGCCGCCAAAAAGUUAUUGGAGUAUCAUCGUCCUCCACUUUGGCGGUUCCUGGAGCUCUGUCGUGCACUACUACCGAUGUCCCACCAUAUUUACAAUAUUUAAUCAUUUGUUUCUUAAUUUUUUUGUUAAAACUAUUUUAAUUAUUUUUUUUGACACAUUUUUCAAAUAAAGUGAAGAUAAACUCAUUUUGAGAUAAGAUUUAUUGUUCAAAUUUUGCGUAGUAUAAAAUUAUUACAAAAUUCAAUUAGUCAAAACAAACAAAAAAACUAAGUCAGAAAAACAAAAGCGAAAUUCAAAGAAAUUAAUUCCUCCACCCUCACCUACAAGUCUCAACCACUCACCACCAUGGCAGCACCACCGUUCUCUCCUCUCAUCCAUUCCACAACCUUCUCUUCCUCCCCCUAACCACUCCCAACCACCACAACACCGACGCAAAAUCCCAAUUCAAAACGAAGAACCAUCGAAUUUGAAAUUCAACAUUGAUAUCACAUGUCAAAAUCGGAGAAUUCAAUGGGAUUAGGAUCAACAACAACAACAACAACAUCAUCAUCUGUAUCAUCCAAAAUUCACCCUUCCAAUCAUCCACCAGAACUCGAUCCUUCUUCCUACGCUCUCGAGAAAUUCAAACUCUACGAAACCAGAGCGGUUCGUAACAACAUUCAAUUUCAUUUUCUUUCAUAACUGUAUAACCUAACAUUCAUCAAUUAAUUUUGAUUUUUUUUUUUUUUUUUGUAAUUGUGUAGAGGUUUUAUUUAAUUGGAAGUGAUCGGAACAAGAGAUUCUUUCGCGUAUUGAAAAUUGAUCGAUCAGAACAGUCUGAUCUUAGUAUCAGUCAAGAUCCUGUGUUGUAUUCGCAGCAGGAAAUUAAGAGUUUGCUUCAGCGGAUUGCUGAAGGUAAUCGAGCUACCGGUGGACUUACUUUCGUCGCUAAAGUUUUUGGAAUUGCAGGUUAGUAAAGAGUUUUUACACUGUCAAUCAAUAAUAACUGUUUUAUUACUAGAAACAAAUAAUAACUGUUUUAUUACUAAUCAAUGAUAACUGUUUUACACUGUAUAAUUAUUUUACACAUGCUUAUUCAUUAGUUGAUGUGGCAACAGAUGAUUGGAUGUAUUUGUAAAAUAAUUCGUGCAUACUGAUUAAAUUCUGUUAGAACCAUUUGACUUUUAUUAUAACCACGUGGAAGUCAUGCACAUAAUUGGUUGUUUUGAUUGUGAUGUAAUGCAGUGUAAAAUUGUAUGAAAACUAAACCGUUGUAAUAUACUAGCAGAAAAAUAGGCACAUUAGUUUAGUGUAAAAGUGCAUGAAAAUUUGAUAGUUGUUUGUGAUGUGCUGACAGUAUUGCUAGUUGUUUGUGUUGACAGUGUUAUAGGCGUGUAUUGAAGUUGUUUAAAUUUGAUAGUUGUUUAUGAUGUGCUGAUAGUGUAAAAGCAUAGUAGUCAACUGCGGUAGCGGUGUGUAGCGGCCGACCCCAAAAGUGGGAUAGUGUAUAGUGGUCACCAAUAUUUGAUUAUUUUUUUGGACAAAUUACAUGAAUAAUACUCUAAAGUAUAAAAUAAAAAAACUUAUAUCUCAUAAAACAUUCAUAAAUCAAAACACCAAAAAACAAAAGACAGAGAACAAUAAAAAAAAUCAUAAAAGAAGAGAAACCAUAAAACAAAAGAAAACAGAGGAAGAAAAAAAUCAGAGAAAGAGAGAAGAGAUCCCCAGGUUACAUUUUCCAGUUGGAAGAUAGAAGAGUGUGUUUUCUGGUGCAUGUAAGAAGAGAGAAAGAGUUGAAAAAUGUUAAGGUUUUAAAAAUAUGGUCAAUUUAGAAAAUUCCUAUUAAAAUCAAAUAGCGGUUGAAGCGGCCGCUAUCCGCUACACCGCUAUAGCAGCUGAAGCGGCCGCUUUUUCAUUCUGAAACCGCUAUGACGAUUAUUGUAGCGGUUUGUUGCCGCUAUGCUACACUCGGCCGCUAUAGGCUGCUAUUGACUACUCUGUGUAAAAGUGCAUGAAAAUUAAACUAUUGUGUUAUACUAGUAGAAAAUUGGGAACAUUAGUUUAGAGGCUUGUUUGGAUAAACAACUUAUUUGCAGUUUAUAUCAUGAGUGCUUAUCAUGAUAAGUGCUUAUGUAUAAAUUAUUUCUAUAAAAAAAGAUAAAGUAAAGUUAAACUGUUUUAAUAUAAACUAUAAGUCAUUUUCAUAAGAGGAAAAUUUUAUCGGACAGUUGUAAGACCGACAAUGUUGUAUGGAAAGUAGUGUUGGGCGGUUAAGAACCAACUCGAGAAUAAAGUAAGCGUAGCAGAGAUGAGGAUGUUGGAUUGGAUGUGUGGUAAAACUAGACGGGAUAUAGGAUUAGAAAUGACAACUUUAGAGCGAGAGAGUUAGGGUAGCACCUAUUCUAGUAAAUAUGGUGGAAACUCUGCUUAGGUGGUCUGGCCACGUGGAGAGAAUCUUUGUAGAUUCUGUAGUAAGGAGAGUAGAUAAGAUGGAAAGUAGUCAAAUCACUAGAGGUAGAGGAAGACGUAGAAAAACUAUACGUGAAACCAAGAUCUAGAGAUUAAUUAGUUGGAUAGAAUUAGAAAUAAGGUAUAUAUGAUAGAACAUUAUGGCGUUGUUUUAUCUGGAUUUAUCUAAAAUUUAAUUUCAAUAUUCAUGUUGUAUCUUUUUAUAUUUAAAUUUGGAAAGGAACUGUGUUGUUAAGAACAAAUUUAUACAGACAAUAACUCCGACAAAAAUUAAUAGUUACUCUUGGAGUUUCCUUUAUGUUAUAAAUACUUUUAUAUCUAUAUAUCUUUUGUCCCUAAUCUUUAGUUUAACUUUCAAUAUAGUCUUGCUUAUAUACCAGAUCGGUCAUUUUUGUCAAUUAUGAUCCCAAGGCUGUUAACUGUGAUAUUGUUUUAGUCCAUCAUCUUUGAUUUUGUACAAACAAGAUGAUCCGUAUCUUUAACCUUUGUUAUGAAAUGGUGCUUUAUCUUUAUUUUUAGUUUUGAUUUGGUCCAACAAAUACUGUCACAUAAGUCACAAUUACAAAUGUUAGUAACAAGAUUUGGAGCUGAUCAUUUUGGUCAAUUUUUUUAUCACAUACCAUAUAUAUAAAUAAAUUUAAAUGUCAAACAUAACUAGUAAUUAUUCUUAUUGAUUCUCUUGUGUUUUUCUAGGCUGCAUCAAGUUUCUCGAGUCUUACUAUUUGAUUCUCGUUACUAAGCGCAGACAAAUUGGUUCUAUAUGUGGCCAUGCAAUUUAUAGCAUCAAGGAGAGCCAAUUAAUUACAAUUCCACAUGUGUCAAUUCAAUCUGAUUUAGCUCACUCUAAAACUGAGCUAAGGUAAUUUGAUUGCAUCUGAUAACUGCAAUCAAAAUUUGUCGAUCUUUAUAAAUUGAACUGGGAAACGACUUAACAUUGCUUACUUCCACUGCAGAUACAAAAAGCUUUUGUCCAGUGUUGAUUUGACCAAGGAUUUCUUCUUUAGUUAUACUUACCCUAUAAUGCAAAGUCUGCAAAAGAACGUCUCGUCCGAUCAAGAAGGAGGGAUGCCAUACGAUAAUAUAUUUGUCUGGAAUGCUUAUUUGACACAAGCUAUCAGAUCUAGAUGCAAUAACACCAUAUGGACUAUAGCUUUGGUUCAUGGCCAUUUUAGGCAGGUUUGUCUUUUCUUUUGUGCAGCCUGUCAAUUAUGAUAGUUACUGUCAAAUUAAGCUUAUAUACUCUUGUUUUAAACAUGUGUUAUCAUUAAACAUCCAUGAUUGGUUUUCAGUAUUUGUAAAUUAUAGUUAUCAAAGCAAGAAAAACAUUGUUCAAAAUUUAGUACUAUCGGGAAUUAGGAUUCUUGGGAUAGAAUAGACAGUUGAUUUGGAGUAAAGCUUUGGUUCCUGUUCAUUUUAGGCAGGUUUGUUUUUCUUAGUUGUGUGUGUCAAUGUCAUUAAUCAUAGUUUGUUAUUUGUUUAGUCCUAAGCGUAGUUACUCUUGUUUCUAGCAUGCAUUUCCGUUAAAGAUUCACGAUCAAUUUACAGUAUUUGUAAAUUACUUGCUAUUAAAGCAAUGGGAAUUUGUACAAAAAAAUCAAGAGGAACAUUGUCCAAAAUUUACUACUAUUGGGAAUUAGGAUGCCUGAGAUAGAAUCAUAGAAAAAACCUGAAUUGGUUCAAUGUCUCUUCUUGGUGGCUGUGCAAUAAUGGGUUGAUACAAACAUGUUUCUAUAUGGGUCUAUCUGACAGAAUUUCAGGUUCCGGUACCGUUCACCUUAAAGCAACAAUUAUAUUUAUUACCAAGUGCUAGGGUGAGAGCAAGGACUGAAAACAGAAUAUGAUGUUGGUAGAUGAGUGGAAAAACUGAGAUUCAUCGUUUUAAAUGUCAUUCAAACACGUCUUGAUUUAAAACUAAUUUAUUAAGACUUUAUUUUUAAAUAAUUUCAUUUGAAGUCUUCUUUUAUGAAACAGUUUUCAACAACUAAAACACUAUAGAAUCAAACAUGUUAUUGACUUUCUUGGCUAACUUCGUUCUUUUCUUUAGUUAAUAAUAAGAUGGCUUUCAGUUAAUAAAUCCCAUUUCUCUCUCUUUGCUCACUCUCCAUAAUCUGUAUGAGGGAAAGUAAUUUUGGAUGAUACAAAGAGGAGACCCGACACAAUGUUUUGAGUUGUCAUGUAAUACGAAGUUGUAGGUUCAAGUUGUGGAAUGAGCCUCUUGCAAAUGCAAGAUAAGGCUGCUCAGAGUAGACCCUCAGUGGCUUCAAUCCUGUUUCUAGUCAACCUCCCACUCCAUCACUACUAUUGUUUUUGAAAAUGAAAUUUCAUACAAUGUUCCCAAAAAACGAGAAUUUAUAUAGAUUAACCAUGAUGUAUAUUUGUAGUGUUAGUGGUAGCACGUUAUAUUUUUAAUGCUGUAGAUUUUUAUGCGCUUAUGUGGUGCUCCCACAACUUUCUAGGUCCAUCACUACUAGCCAUGGUGUGAACUUAAUAGCACGGAUAGCACUUGGGUGACAUUGUGGUUGAUGAAAUUGGCCUACCACAAUGUCACAAGGCUUUCUUCUCUCUCUUUCACAAAGUUUUUCUGUUUUUUGUACACUUGUGACAUUGUGGUUGGCCAAUGUCACCCAAGUGCUAUCCUAAUAGCACCAGGUUGACCUUUUUUUUUUUUUUUUUUUUUUUUUUUUUUUUUUUUAUAACUAUAACAUAAUAUAUAUAGAGAUAAAAUAGGGAAAGUACUGUUUGGGUUAUAAUAUAUGCUCUAAAACAGUAAAACAUGCAAAGCAAGAAGGAAAGAGAAAGAGUUGACAACGCUGAAACCAUUGGGAAAUUUAGUUCAUCCAUACAGGACUUUUGAUUGAGAUGAACUUCUAUGCCUCAAAAGAGCUAUUUGAUUGUGAUUGAUAUUUUCUUAGAGUAUCUAUGAUUAUCUCAUAAGAUUAGAUUCUUAUCUUAGUAUCUUAUUGCUUGUUUGGAAUAGCGGUGGAUUUGCAUUUUUCGCGUCCCAAGACAGAUAUAACGUGAAAAUGAAGAAGCUACAUUUUGUAGCUUUACAGAAAAUGUACGUUAAGCUUGCAUUCACCGCAAAAACAAACAAGAGCUUAGACUAUCUCUAUUAGUUCCAUAUUUCUGAACUAACGGUAACCAGUAACUAAAACAUACCACAUAUAUGUACGAAUAUUACACGUAAGACAUAAUUCAUUGCCUUUUUCUUUUCUCCGUAAUUACUUGAUUUUAUUGUCCUGUCAAUCAGUUUAUGUUGUAAAUAAUGAAGUUUUAUGAUUAUUAUUAGUAAUUUGUAAUUGUCUCAUUAGUCAUUAGUCAGGCCCAUUAGCUUAGAAUAGCCUAUAUAAACACAUCAGUGGUUGUACAUUAUUUAUCUCUGAAAUAUAAUAUUAAGUUUUCACAGUUUAUUUAUCCAGAGCCUUUGUCAUUUUAUAACCAAUUUAAGAUCUAUAAAAUUGCAGGCUCGUUUAUCGAUCUUUGGGAGGGACUUCAGUGUUUCCUUGAUUUCUCGACGCUCUAGACAUUUUGCAGGGACACGGUAAGUUCAUGGUUUGAUAUUUUAUUUAUAUUUCACAUUCUAGUUCCAUGCAAUUGAAUCAGAUGUUAUGAAAUCAUUGGGAUAAUUUAAAUUAGAUAGCUAUUUAAGUUUCUAUUAUUCAAUUUCAAUUUCAAUUUCUUCCUUAACAUUGUGUUGCUAAAUGAAUUGGAAUAUGUAGUAGUAGUUAAAUAUGGAAUAUUCUUUGUUGUCAUAAAUUAUCUGUAUUUUGUAAAGUAUUUGGUGUACAGUGUCUAUUUGGCCAUAAUGAAGUUGUUGGAUUAAUUUUCUUCAUCAAGAAUUAUUUUUGUAGUUACCUGAAAAGGGGAGUGAAUGAUCGAGGGAGAGUUGCUAAUGAUGUUGAGACAGAGCAGAUUGUCCUUGACGAAGAAGCUGGCUCCUGCAAGGGCAAAAUGAGUUCAGUUGUGCAAAUGCGUGGAUCAAUACCACUUUUCUGGUCACAAGAAGCAUCAAGAUUUAGCCCUAAGCCUGACAUAAUUUGUAAGAAUACAGUUGGGAUUAAUAUUAAUCUGUUCAUUGUUAAAUUGUACGCUGUUGUAACACUUUCCUUUCGAUCUUUUGCUCCCCCUGUUUUGACUUCCAGUGCAGAGAUACGAUCCAACAUACCAGGCAACAAAAUUCCAUUUUGAAGACCUUGCUCAGAGAUAUGGCAAUCCAAUUAUUGUCCUUAAUUUGAUCAAGGUAAUUCCUAAUAAAAAAUAAUAAUGAAGCUCACAAAUACUAAUUAUUGUUAAUAAUGAAGCUCACAAAUACUAAUUAUUGUUCUUACUUGUAGAAAAAAGUAAUGUUCUUCCAUUUCCCCAUCCCCAUUUCAGAAUAGCACUUUCCCAUGGUUUUACAAAAUGGCUUCUCAUUGGGAAAUUUAAAUUUCAGUCUAGAACUUUUUUUUGUUCACAACAGCUAAUCUUUAAAUAAAAAAUGACCAAAGAUCUGAAUGAAAUGGACACUGCCUAAAAAUGAAGCAUAUAGUAUUUUAUCCAACGUUCUAUACCAUAAAAUCUUCUUUUGGAUAGGAUUCUUUGCUUUGCUCUGGUUCCUAGCAGUUUAUGGUCAGUAUUUUUUUUUUAAAUUGGUUUCUUGGUGCACAUCAAGACAAAUAAGAGAGAUAUUUUGAGCUAAUGCUGAAAGUUUCCUUUUUGGUUGCUGAUGUUAGGAUCCCUGAUAAUGCGGUCAUGUUUAACUCCUCUCAAUAAUUUCUUUAAGCAAAAAUGGUCAUAAGUUUCGAAAUAAUACCACGACAACAAUUUCAUAAAAAUAAGUUCGUAAUAUUACUAUUUCUCUACCUUAGUUAUCUAAAACCCAUAAACUUCAACAAGAAUUAAUGUUGAUCCUUCAUUUUUUUUCUCUGGGUUUAGUAGUGUGGAAGCGAUGAUUUUUUAUAAAAGAAGAGAAAUAAUAAGAACAUUGAGUAUGAUAACGGUACGAUAUGAUUUAUAAUAAAUUGAUAGUUGCUUAAUACAUAUGAGAACAAAGUGCUGUUGUGAAGAAAUAAGGACAGCAAGAAAUAAAUCAUAAUAAUAACUCGGUAAUCAAGAAAUAAAUCAUAAUAAAUCAUAAUCAAAUGGUGGGACCCCUUUCCGGACCCUGCGUAUGCGGGAGCUUUAGUGCACCGGGUUGCCCUUUAACUUUUGGGAAAAUCCAAAGUCUCACAUUGAAUAGUGAUAAGGUCUGAAACGAGUUUAUAAAGAGUGACAUUCCUCAACUUACAAGUCGGUUUUUGAAGGAUGAGUUAGACUCAAUAUAAAACUUAAUAAUAACCUGAGAUAUUCUAAGAUUAGAAAUUGAUCUUAUACGAUAAACUAGAUUUUUUCCCUUUUUGCAUACUUAUUUCUUCAUUGAAAUAUUCUCUUUAUAAUUUUUGUGGCUUAUUUAAAUGAUAAAUUGUAGACAGUUGAGAAAAGGCCUCGAGAAAUGAUGCUGAGGCGUGAAUUUGCAAAUGCUGUUGGGUAUCUGAACCAAAUUCUACCAGCAGAGAGCCAUCUUAGAUUUAUUCACUGGGACUUUCACAAGUUUGCAAAAACGUGAGGAAGCUUUACCAUAUUGUUCUUCAAUACCAGUCUUUUCAUUUUUUUCUGCAGUUCUAUUUUAAAUCUGACUAUUCUCUAUUAUGCUCUGCUGUUUUCAAAGCAAGUCUGCCAAUGUUUUGGCAGUUUUAGGAGCUGUAGCAAGUGAAGCACUUGAUCUAACAAGUUUUUACUAUAGUGGCAAGCCCAACAUUGUAAAGAGGGCAAACAAGAGUAAUCGAACAAGCACAGCAAGGUAGGAUCCAUUGUUUGAAUUGUUAACUAACAUUGAAUACAAUUUUUUUCUUGUUUUUCAUUUAUGUUUUAGUUGAAUCGUAGCUGUACUGCAAAAAUAUCAAAUUUUUCCGAUGUUGUCAACACAGAUCACACAAUGCCAUGAUGUCUUAACAUGAAUUUUUUCCAAUGGCAUCCCAUUUAAAUCUAAUUUUUUCUAAUCGGUUUGGCCUUUUUAUGGUUCUGUUUCUCCGCCUUGGAUAAUUGGACUAUUCUCCAUCUCAUCCACCCUCAUUUUGCUGGUGCUUAUACAAUUAUUUUCCAUCGUUGCCCAAACCACCUAUGGUGGUGUAAGGUAGAUUAUCAUAUUUUUCAUAGAAGGUGCUACCCCGAUUCCUUAAAAAUCUAUCAUUCUCAAUUCUAUAUUGUUUUGUGUGGCCACUCAUGUAUCACAACAUUCUCAUCUCUGCAUUAUUAAGCUUACUUUGCUGUUUGCCUUUGAGUCACAAGACAACUUUGUCAUGUGUAUUGUAUCGUGGAGAGUGAACAACAGAAGAUAAUUCAUUAAAGGAGACUUUAUUUAUUUUUUUAGUGAAAAUUAUUGACCUAUGUUGAAGUUGUAAGAUUUUAGAUAAAAGGAAAAGAAGAGAGAAAACAAUAAGAACAUUGAAUAUUAUUGAUGAUGACUUGAUAGUAGCUUCCUGAUACUCAAUUGAUAUUUAUAACCAAGUGAUUACUUCAACUCUACAACUAAAUCCAUUGCUUUCUUUCAAAAAAAUAAAAAUAAAUCCAUUGCUUAUAGGAAUAAUACUAACAAACCCAAUCAGCGAUAUUUACUCAACAUAAUAUAAUUUAAAUCUAAUAAUAUCUUAACAACCUACAAGAGCUCUAACUCUUCCCUUGACUUGUCAUGGUGGGAGACAACAUCGGGUUGUCCAUCAUCAUGAUUAUUUUUAUUAUUAUUAUUAUUUAGAUCCAAAUGUCAUCAUUUAAUCAAUAUACCUGACCGUGCCUAGUGACAUACGGAUUGGUGGUAGUUUGUCAUUGGUGGUGUGAUUAGUGUUAAGUCUGGGAGAUUCUUAUGUUACAAAACGUUGUUGAAGUUUUUAUUUUGUAUGUGUAAAAAAGCAAUAUGUUGCUCAAGAGAAAGAAAAUUAUAUUUACAUUUCAACAUCUCCUUAUACAGGGAUGCUUCGUUGAGAGAUCUGACAGCUAGUUCUGGAGAUCUUGCAAGGCUUGGAAUCAGUAGUGAAGUGCUAAAUUCUAUGGCUAAUCGAGAUAGAGAGACUGACAUGAAUCACCAGAACAAAGAUGAUUAUUUUAAUAGUGAUACACCACAUUUUCAGAGUGGAGUCCUACGUACCAACUGCAUUGACUGCUUGGACCGUACAAAUGUCGCCCAAUAUGCUUAUGGCCUACAAGCUUUAGGACGCCAGCUCCAUGCAAUGGGUUUGUCUGAUGUGCCAAAAGUGGAUCCUGACAGUAGUAUUGCAGCAGCUCUAAUGGAUAUGUAUCAAAGUAUGGGAGAUGCUCUUGCGCAGCAGUAUGGUGGUUCUGCAGCUCACAAUACUGUAUGACGUAUUUUACAUGAUUUUAAAUUGGCGUAAUCUGUAGGAUAAAGUGUCUAAUUUUCUUAUUUGUAUCUUACAUUGAUGUGAUAAUAGAUGUAUUUUUUGUGAAUUUAUAGGUGUUUCCAGAGAGGCAGGGAAAGUGGAAAGCAACGACACAAUCAAGAGAAUUUUUAAAAUCCAUAAAACGAUAUUACAGCAAUGCUUAUACGGAUGGUGAAAAACAAGAUGCAAUAAACUUGUAUUAUUCCUUCCACCUAUUUCAUGUUUCCUAAUCGGAAUUUAUAUCUCAUCUUUAAUAAUAUUGGGUUUUUUUAGUUUCUAAUAUUUAGAGGGUCUUGCAACUUGUGCACUUAGGGCACAUGUUAAGUAACUCAAAAUUAGAAAUUUUGCAUUGAAAAGAAUAAUUUUUGUACUUUUAAGAAUUUGAAUACACGACCUUUGAGAUUGAAUUACCGUGUAGUUCUUUAACACGUGCACUUAGGGUACAUGUUAGCAUUUUCCAUAUUUAAAUUUAAAUACUUUAGCCCGUUGUUAAUUUUGUCUUGAAUAGUCUAAAAUACUGAUGCCAUUGUUCCAUUGCCAGAUUCUUAGGUUACUUCAAACCACAGGAAGGAAAACCUGCUCUAUGGGAGCUUGAUUCAGAUUAUUAUCUCCAUGUAUCUGGCAUUGGAGAUGAUCUUUUUCCUGAGAAGUUGUGAGUCCUCCUUGUUACUUUCUUUAUUUAUGAGCAUUCCACUUUAUUAUUUAAUGAUUUGUGCAGUGUCUAUUUUUAUUUAUUUAAUUAUUUUUUAUUUCCAUUUUAUGAUUUAGUUUCCUUAGAGAGAGUAGAUUCAUAAUUGUGAUUAUUUUCAAUCCCUACGUGCGGAGAUUUCCUUAUAUGUACGGCACUACAGUGUUAAUUUCGCAAGUGUAUCAUUACAUACUCAAAUAUGAGAAAUUAAUUUGUUUCAAGUUGUCAUCAGAGCACAAGGUUUUGAUCUAGCAAAGCCGUCACCCUAAAUCCUCUGGUUACGCCAUAUCCUUGGGAGUUAUAUAUGUCAAAAUAUAACCUCCCUUCAAGUUGGUCCUUAUCCUGUAUUUUGUUUGUACUUCCAAAAAAAUACGACCUCCCUUCUGUUAGAAGUUAUAUAUGUCAAAAUCCAUCCCCGAUGCUUCUAUAAUAUGUUAAAUUUGAUCUUGCUAUUCCCAUCUUUUUUAUAUACUGUAUAUUUACCUUUCCGAUCUUCAAUAUCUUUUUCAAAUCUGCAGUUGUGAACCAAAUCUCAAGUCUUCUGGGAGAGACGGAACAAUCUUCACCCCUGUACCAGCUUGCAGAGAUGAUUUCUCACGCAUAAAGCUGACAUCAUUUGACAAGUUAAUUGAAAAGACCUGUAGUACAAUUAAAAAUGUAAGGCUUUCCUGCGAACCUGAUCAGAAGCCAGGUGGAGUUUCUGGAAACAGUGGUGUAGCACCUGAUGCAGCGUAAUGUCUCUUAUUCUUUGUCUCUGUUUGAUGAUUUUAGUUCUGUUAGAAACCUUGAAACAGGUUUUUCAGAGGGAGCGGUGAGAAAAACAGAGAAAGGAAAGGAAAAUUAAUACUUUUGUAGUUUUUAUUGAAUUAAAAAGAACCUAAGGAGACAACUCUCAUUCUAAUGGUUUCCCCUUUUAUAGCACGGCAUAUGCUUAUUCUUCAAAUCUAGAUUUCUGAAUGCCUUCCUUCUAUCUUGCUCCUAUUACGUAAACCACUGUAAUGAACUAUCCAUCCCUUUAAAUAUUCAAAUUAUAAAUAACUAAACUGACAUCGAACUGUCUAACUAGCUCAGACCCUGCUCCGUUUUAUUUUUACUAUAUUAACAUUGUAGAGUGUUUUCUUUUGCGCAUUGUUUUUUAUUUCAUUAUGUGCGCUUGUGAAUACUAAAUUUUUUCCUGUCAUUUGUUUUAACACCGGGUUCCUCUACCUGUGCUUGGUGAUUUAUGAUGACAACAGUUGAUAUUGUUCCCUUGUUAUUGCUUCUUAAUACCUGCAUUACUGAGUUGUAUGGUCAGCAUGAUGUGUUGUCAUAUGCUUUCCCUUCAUUUACUUCAACUUAUUUUUCUCUCAAUGCUUGGGAUUCUUAAUAUGCACCAUUAUUUGUUUUGUUUAAGAAAAUUGAUAUGCAAAAGCAUCAUUGUCAAUUUGAUUAAUUGGAGAUUGUCUUUUGACAUAAUAUUAAAUAGUCCAGAGAAACUUGCAAAGUUUUUGGUUACGAUUUUACCUCAUGCAAAUGGGAAAAUGUUGGAUUUCCUACAAACUUUUACACUCUUAUCCACAAUAUUCAUAGAGUUCAUUCUGUAAAUUACUCCAAUUGACAUUGAACAACAUCUAAUACAAAGGAGCCAUUAAUUUGUUUGUUAAAAUCAGUAUAAUUCUUCACCAAUCUCUUGUUUUUAAAUAUAUUCCCUUCAUUUCUAUACAUGUAAGUUCCUUGCUAAAACUUUAGUUGCAAUGUCAGUUUCCACUUCCCUGCCAACCAUGUGUAGUUUUAGGUGGGAAAUAGUGGGCGGAGUGUCAGCUUGUGUGAUGUAAAAAUAAUACGAGCAUCGUGAGGUAAUUCUUGUUGAUUCACUGCUUGUCUGUUGUGUUUAUCCAGUGAGAUACAGCUUAAAAGCCCAAAUUGGCUUUUUGGCCAGAGAAAGUAUGAAGAAGGUUCCUCUGCUGCAAAAGUUGCUUCUAGUGAAACCGACAUUGAGGGAUGUCAUGCUAAUGACUUUUGCAACUUGAAUUGGCUUUCCUCUGGUAAUGAUAUGAAUGAAGAGGAUGUUUUUCAUAGGUAUGUAUCUUGAACAUGGAUUAUCCUUACAAGGCUUUGAUACAUCUUCUAUAUAUCCUUAGAUGUUCAGUGUCCCGUUCUGUUAUUUUUCCUACUUAAUAACAUCCGCACAUCAGAUAACCUCUGUAUAUUUAGUACAUUGUGAUUUGUGAGUUUAGUUUGCAACGUUUUACUGAUGAUGCUUUUCACAUAUCCUUGACUUUUUAGGUACUUUACAAUGACCUCAGCAAACGAGUCCAAUGGUUGGUAUGGAGGCACCCUCCUUGGUGAUCAAGAUGAAAGCAGUGAGAUAUAUAGACAUUAUGCUGAGUUAUGUCAGGUAUGUAAUUUCAUGUGAAUAUUAACUAUUCCUACGCCUACCUGAAAAAAAAUGUCAUGGUGGAUCUUGGUGUAGUAAUGACGGGCAGGUUGAAGGUUAAUAAACAUCCUUGGUCUCACUUGCUAUAUAUUCUUCUGUUUGUUUAUACAACAUGCAAGAAAUUUACAACGACAACCAAAGCCUUAUCCCACUAAGUUGGGUCGGCUACAUGGAUGAAAUUACACCAUAAUAUCAUAAAGACAUAAACCAUAUUUUGGUCCAACUCUUUAAUCUUCAAGUCUUUCCUAAAGUUUCUAUAAUAUACAAUAUAAGGAAAUCAACAAACAAAUAAAUAAUGACAUAUAGGUAUUAAUAAAUAACAGAACAUGUAGGAUUUUUGUGUGUUGUGUUAUUACAUCUUAUGCUGCCAAGAUGCAGUUUUUCUAGUAUUUUACCCACACCUUCAUCUACUUCUACAGGGACCUGCCUUUGAACUUUUCCAAGAUGAUCAUGAAAGAGAGCAACACUACGCGGAUGCUCUAAGCAUGAGUUCAUUUGAAAUUAUAAAUGAAGCUGGUGUUGCAGCAGAGAUGGAAGCAGCUCUAAAGGAGUAUGACCAAGUUGGUGCUGACCUUGGGAUCAUUCCCUCAUCUUGUAAAUUCUUCGCCGAUGAUCCAAGUUGGUUGACGAGGUGGUUAAUUGGGGACGAAAAAGUACCCAGGAUAUGAUGAGCUUUUGGCAUGUAUUUGGAAUGAUUGAUUUUUGUACUAUUUGAACUCUUGUUUAGUCCUAUGUAAAGUCAUAGUUAAUGUCAGUUUUCUUAUCAAGUUCAAUUCUUCAUUUUUGUUUUGAAUUAUGACUCUUUUUGUUCCAUACAAGAAUGUCACCUUUUGUUUUUAGGCUUUAUUUAAUUUGUUAGUAUAUUAUAUUAGUUAGGUCACUUGUCCCUUCUGUUUUAAGUUUGCUACUCAAUUCGAUAAACCAGUUAUUAUCGUGUUACAUAAUAACUGAUUAUUCCUAAUGCCUCUUUGUUUAUAACUAAGGCGUUGCCUCUUAUUAAUGCAAGCUUUUCAUUUUAUCAAAAGCUAAUAAAGUUUAUGAAAUCUUAUCUUAUCUUAUCUUAUAUACAAAUGCAAAGAAAAGUUGCAAGCAAACCCUAGGUUUGCCAUUUUUUUUUUUUUUUUUUUAUACCAAAAAGCCCCUCUUGGCACCAAAAUGCAAGGUCAUGUGAUAAUUAUGCCCAUUGAUUGUAUCAAUGCAAUCAAUGAAUGCCAUUUGUAUCAUAGUUUCUUCUAUAAAAAAAUCACAAUGAUUAUCUUAUAUACAAAUGCAAAGAAAAGUUGCAAGCAAACUCUAGAAAAAUCCUAGGUUUGCCAUUGUUUUUUUUUUAUUACCAAAAUGCCCCUCUUGGCACCAAAAUGCAAGGUCAUGUGAUAAUUCUGCCCAUUGAUUGUAUCAAUGCAAUCAAUGAAUGCCAUUUGUAUCAUAGUUUCUUCUAUAAAAAAAUCACAAUGAUUAUACAAAUCUUAUGAUGCAUUCUUAAGCAACAAUAAAUAAUAUUUUGUUUGCCUAGAUAAGAAAACAAUAACUUCAUUGUCACUCUAUACCUAAAGGCUACAUCAAGGUGCAAUCUAUGCACCUUUAUCGCCACCCUAUAGAUAAAAGGCUAGAUGAUAGACUUUGACUUUAGUCAGAAAAAUGACUAUAUUUCAAAUUUACAAAGAAAAGGCUAUACAUCGAGACAUAAAAGUUGUAAUUAUUAAUAGCAAGAGGGUUUGUCUUNNNNNNNNNNNNNNNNNNNNNNNNNNNNNNNNNNNNNNNNNNNNNNNNNNNNNNNNNNNNNNNNNNNNNNNNNNNNNNNNNNNNNNNNNNNNNNNNNNNNGACAUUGUGGUUGGCCAAUGUCACCCAAGUGCUAUCCUAAUAGCACCAGUUUUUUUUUUUUUUUUUUUUAAUUUUUUUUUUUUUAUAACUAAAACAUAAUAUAUAUAGAGAUAAAAUAGGGAAAGUACUGUUUGGGUUAUAAUAUAUGCUCUAAAACAGUAAAACAUGCAAAGCAAGAAGGAAAGAGAAAGAGUUGACAACGCUGAAACCAUUGGGAAAUUUAGUUCAUCCAUACAGGACUUUUGAUUGAGAUGAACUUCUAUGCCUCAAAAGAGCUAUUUGAUUGUGAUUGAUAUUUUCUUAGAGUAUCUAUGAUUAUCUCAUAAGAUUAGAUUCUUAUCUUAGUAUCUUAUUGCUUGUUUGGAAUAGCGGUGGAUUUGCAUUUUUCGCGUCCCAAGACAGAUAUAACGUGAAAAUGAAGAAGCUACAUUUUGUAGCUUUACAGAAAAUGUACGUUAAGCUUGCAUUCACCGCAAAAACAAACAAGAGCUUAGACUAUCUCUAUUAGUUCCAUAUUUCUGAACUAACGGUAACCAGUAACUAAAACAUACCACAUAUAUGUACGAAUAUUACACGUAAGACAUAAUUCAUUGCCUUUUUCUUUUCUCCGUAAUUACUUGAUUUUAUUGUCCUGUCAAUCAGUUUAUGUUGUAAAUAAUGAAGUUUUAUGAUUAUUAUUAGUAAUUUGUAAUUGUCUCAUUAGUCAUUAGUCAGGCCCAUUAGCUUAGAAUAGCCUAUAUAAACACAUCAGUGGUUGUACAUUAUUUAUCUCUGAAAUAUAAUAUUAAGUUUUCACAGUUUAUUUAUCCAGAGCCUUUGUCAUUUUAUAACCAAUUUAAGAUCUAUAAAAUUGCAGGCUCGUUUAUCGAUCUUUGGGAGGGACUUCAGUGUUUCCUUGAUUUCUCGACGCUCUAGACAUUUUGCAGGGACACGGUAAGUUCAUGGUUUGAUAUUUUAUUUAUAUUUCACAUUCUAGUUCCAUGCAAUUGAAUCAGAUGUUAUGAAAUCAUUGGGAUAAUUUAAAUUAGAUAGCUAUUUAAGUUUCUAUUAUUCAAUUUCAAUUUCAAUUUCUUCCUUAACAUUGUGUUGCUAAAUGAAUUGGAAUAUGUAGUAGUAGUUAAAUAUGGAAUAUUCUUUGUUGUCAUAAAUUAUCUGUAUUUUGUAAAGUAUUUGGUGUACAGUGUCUAUUUGGCCAUAAUGAAGUUGUUGGAUUAAUUUUCUUCAUCAAGAAUUAUUUUUGUAGUUACCUGAAAAGGGGAGUGAAUGAUCGAGGGAGAGUUGCUAAUGAUGUUGAGACAGAGCAGAUUGUCCUUGACGAAGAAGCUGGCUCCUGCAAGGGCAAAAUGAGUUCAGUUGUGCAAAUGCGUGGAUCAAUACCACUUUUCUGGUCACAAGAAGCAUCAAGAUUUAGCCCUAAGCCUGACAUAAUUUGUAAGAAUACAGUUGGGAUUAAUAUUAAUCUGUUCAUUGUUAAAUUGUACGCUGUUGUAACACUUUCCUUUCGAUCUUUUGCUCCCCCUGUUUUGACUUCCAGUGCAGAGAUACGAUCCAACAUACCAGGCAACAAAAUUCCAUUUUGAAGACCUUGCUCAGAGAUAUGGCAAUCCAAUUAUUGUCCUUAAUUUGAUCAAGGUAAUUCCUAAUAAAAAAUAAUAAUGAAGCUCACAAAUACUAAUUAUUGUUAAUAAUGAAGCUCACAAAUACUAAUUAUUGUUCUUACUUGUAGAAAAAAGUAAUGUUCUUCCAUUUCCCCAUCCCCAUUUCAGAAUAGCACUUUCCCAUGGUUUUACAAAAUGGCUUCUCAUUGGGAAAUUUAAAUUUCAGUCUAGAACUUUUUUUUGUUCACAACAGCUAAUCUUUAAAUAAAAAAUGACCAAAGAUCUGAAUGAAAUGGACACUGCCUAAAAAUGAAGCAUAUAGUAUUUUAUCCAACGUUCUAUACCAUAAAAUCUUCUUUUGGAUAGGAUUCUUUGCUUUGCUCUGGUUCCUAGCAGUUUAUGGUCAGUAUUUUUUUUUUAAAUUGGUUUCUUGGUGCACAUCAAGACAAAUAAGAGAGAUAUUUUGAGCUAAUGCUGAAAGUUUCCUUUUUGGUUGCUGAUGUUAGGAUCCCUGAUAAUGCGGUCAUGUUUAACUCCUCUCAAUAAUUUCUUUAAGCAAAAAUGGUCAUAAGUUUCGAAAUAAUACCACGACAACAAUUUCAUAAAAAUAAGUUCGUAAUAUUACUAUUUCUCUACCUUAGUUAUCUAAAACCCAUAAACUUCAACAAGAAUUAAUGUUGAUCCUUCAUUUUUUUUCUCUGGGUUUAGUAGUGUGGAAGCGAUGAUUUUUUAUAAAAGAAGAGAAAUAAUAAGAACAUUGAGUAUGAUAACGGUACGAUAUGAUUUAUAAUAAAUUGAUAGUUGCUUAAUACAUAUGAGAACAAAGUGCUGUUGUGAAGAAAUAAGGACAGCAAGAAAUAAAUCAUAAUAAUAACUCGGUAAUCAAGAAAUAAAUCAUAAUAAAUCAUAAUCAAAUGGUGGGACCCCUUUCCGGACCCUGCGUAUGCGGGAGCUUUAGUGCACCGGGUUGCCCUUUAACUUUUGGGAAAAUCCAAAGUCUCACAUUGAAUAGUGAUAAGGUCUGAAACGAGUUUAUAAAGAGUGACAUUCCUCAACUUACAAGUCGGUUUUUGAAGGAUGAGUUAGACUCAAUAUAAAACUUAAUAAUAACCUGAGAUAUUCUAAGAUUAGAAAUUGAUCUUAUACGAUAAACUAGAUUUUUUCCCUUUUUGCAUACUUAUUUCUUCAUUGAAAUAUUCUCUUUAUAAUUUUUGUGGCUUAUUUAAAUGAUAAAUUGUAGACAGUUGAGAAAAGGCCUCGAGAAAUGAUGCUGAGGCGUGAAUUUGCAAAUGCUGUUGGGUAUCUGAACCAAAUUCUACCAGCAGAGAGCCAUCUUAGAUUUAUUCACUGGGACUUUCACAAGUUUGCAAAAACGUGAGGAAGCUUUACCAUAUUGUUCUUCAAUACCAGUCUUUUCAUUUUUUUCUGCAGUUCUAUUUUAAAUCUGACUAUUCUCUAUUAUGCUCUGCUGUUUUCAAAGCAAGUCUGCCAAUGUUUUGGCAGUUUUAGGAGCUGUAGCAAGUGAAGCACUUGAUCUAACAAGUUUUUACUAUAGUGGCAAGCCCAACAUUGUAAAGAGGGCAAACAAGAGUAAUCGAACAAGCACAGCAAGGUAGGAUCCAUUGUUUGAAUUGUUAACUAACAUUGAAUACAAUUUUUUUCUUGUUUUUCAUUUAUGUUUUAGUUGAAUCGUAGCUGUACUGCAAAAAUAUCAAAUUUUUCCGAUGUUGUCAACACAGAUCACACAAUGCCAUGAUGUCUUAACAUGAAUUUUUUCCAAUGGCAUCCCAUUUAAAUCUAAUUUUUUCUAAUCGGUUUGGCCUUUUUAUGGUUCUGUUUCUCCGCCUUGGAUAAUUGGACUAUUCUCCAUCUCAUCCACCCUCAUUUUGCUGGUGCUUAUACAAUUAUUUUCCAUCGUUGCCCAAACCACCUAUGGUGGUGUAAGGUAGAUUAUCAUAUUUUUCAUAGAAGGUGCUACCCCGAUUCCUUAAAAAUCUAUCAUUCUCAAUUCUAUAUUGUUUUGUGUGGCCACUCAUGUAUCACAACAUUCUCAUCUCUGCAUUAUUAAGCUUACUUUGCUGUUUGCCUUUGAGUCACAAGACAACUUUGUCAUGUGUAUUGUAUCGUGGAGAGUGAACAACAGAAGAUAAUUCAUUAAAGGAGACUUUAUUUAUUUUUUUAGUGAAAAUUAUUGACCUAUGUUGAAGUUGUAAGAUUUUAGAUAAAAGGAAAAGAAGAGAGAAAACAAUAAGAACAUUGAAUAUUAUUGAUGAUGACUUGAUAGUAGCUUCCUGAUACUCAAUUGAUAUUUAUAACCAAGUGAUUACUUCAACUCUACAACUAAAUCCAUUGCUUUCUUUCAAAAAAAUAAAAAUAAAUCCAUUGCUUAUAGGAAUAAUACUAACAAACCCAAUCAGCGAUAUUUACUCAACAUAAUAUAAUUUAAAUCUAAUAAUAUCUUAACAACCUACAAGAGCUCUAACUCUUCCCUUGACUUGUCAUGGUGGGAGACAACAUCGGGUUGUCCAUCAUCAUGAUUAUUUUUAUUAUUAUUAUUAUUUAGAUCCAAAUGUCAUCAUUUAAUCAAUAUACCUGACCGUGCCUAGUGACAUACGGAUUGGUGGUAGUUUGUCAUUGGUGGUGUGAUUAGUGUUAAGUCUGGGAGAUUCUUAUGUUACAAAACGUUGUUGAAGUUUUUAUUUUGUAUGUGUAAAAAAGCAAUAUGUUGCUCAAGAGAAAGAAAAUUAUAUUUACAUUUCAACAUCUCCUUAUACAGGGAUGCUUCGUUGAGAGAUCUGACAGCUAGUUCUGGAGAUCUUGCAAGGCUUGGAAUCAGUAGUGAAGUGCUAAAUUCUAUGGCUAAUCGAGAUAGAGAGACUGACAUGAAUCACCAGAACAAAGAUGAUUAUUUUAAUAGUGAUACACCACAUUUUCAGAGUGGAGUCCUACGUACCAACUGCAUUGACUGCUUGGACCGUACAAAUGUCGCCCAAUAUGCUUAUGGCCUACAAGCUUUAGGACGCCAGCUCCAUGCAAUGGGUUUGUCUGAUGUGCCAAAAGUGGAUCCUGACAGUAGUAUUGCAGCAGCUCUAAUGGAUAUGUAUCAAAGUAUGGGAGAUGCUCUUGCGCAGCAGUAUGGUGGUUCUGCAGCUCACAAUACUGUAUGACGUAUUUUACAUGAUUUUAAAUUGGCGUAAUCUGUAGGAUAAAGUGUCUAAUUUUCUUAUUUGUAUCUUACAUUGAUGUGAUAAUAGAUGUAUUUUUUGUGAAUUUAUAGGUGUUUCCAGAGAGGCAGGGAAAGUGGAAAGCAACGACACAAUCAAGAGAAUUUUUAAAAUCCAUAAAACGAUAUUACAGCAAUGCUUAUACGGAUGGUGAAAAACAAGAUGCAAUAAACUUGUAUUAUUCCUUCCACCUAUUUCAUGUUUCCUAAUCGGAAUUUAUAUCUCAUCUUUAAUAAUAUUGGGUUUUUUUAGUUUCUAAUAUUUAGAGGGUCUUGCAACUUGUGCACUUAGGGCACAUGUUAAGUAACUCAAAAUUAGAAAUUUUGCAUUGAAAAGAAUAAUUUUUGUACUUUUAAGAAUUUGAAUACACGACCUUUGAGAUUGAAUUACCGUGUAGUUCUUUAACACGUGCACUUAGGGUACAUGUUAGCAUUUUCCAUAUUUAAAUUUAAAUACUUUAGCCCGUUGUUAAUUUUGUCUUGAAUAGUCUAAAAUACUGAUGCCAUUGUUCCAUUGCCAGAUUCUUAGGUUACUUCAAACCACAGGAAGGAAAACCUGCUCUAUGGGAGCUUGAUUCAGAUUAUUAUCUCCAUGUAUCUGGCAUUGGAGAUGAUCUUUUUCCUGAGAAGUUGUGAGUCCUCCUUGUUACUUUCUUUAUUUAUGAGCAUUCCACUUUAUUAUUUAAUGAUUUGUGCAGUGUCUAUUUUUAUUUAUUUAAUUAUUUUUUAUUUCCAUUUUAUGAUUUAGUUUCCUUAGAGAGAGUAGAUUCAUAAUUGUGAUUAUUUUCAAUCCCUACGUGCGGAGAUUUCCUUAUAUGUACGGCACUACAGUGUUAAUUUCGCAAGUGUAUCAUUACAUACUCAAAUAUGAGAAAUUAAUUUGUUUCAAGUUGUCAUCAGAGCACAAGGUUUUGAUCUAGCAAAGCCGUCACCCUAAAUCCUCUGGUUACGCCAUAUCCUUGGGAGUUAUAUAUGUCAAAAUAUAACCUCCCUUCAAGUUGGUCCUUAUCCUGUAUUUUGUUUGUACUUCCAAAAAAAUACGACCUCCCUUCUGUUAGAAGUUAUAUAUGUCAAAAUCCAUCCCCGAUGCUUCUAUAAUAUGUUAAAUUUGAUCUUGCUAUUCCCAUCUUUUUUAUAUACUGUAUAUUUACCUUUCCGAUCUUCAAUAUCUUUUUCAAAUCUGCAGUUGUGAACCAAAUCUCAAGUCUUCUGGGAGAGACGGAACAAUCUUCACCCCUGUACCAGCUUGCAGAGAUGAUUUCUCACGCAUAAAGCUGACAUCAUUUGACAAGUUAAUUGAAAAGACCUGUAGUACAAUUAAAAAUGUAAGGCUUUCCUGCGAACCUGAUCAGAAGCCAGGUGGAGUUUCUGGAAACAGUGGUGUAGCACCUGAUGCAGCGUAAUGUCUCUUAUUCUUUGUCUCUGUUUGAUGAUUUUAGUUCUGUUAGAAACCUUGAAACAGGUUUUUCAGAGGGAGCGGUGAGAAAAACAGAGAAAGGAAAGGAAAAUUAAUACUUUUGUAGUUUUUAUUGAAUUAAAAAGAACCUAAGGAGACAACUCUCAUUCUAAUGGUUUCCCCUUUUAUAGCACGGCAUAUGCUUAUUCUUCAAAUCUAGAUUUCUGAAUGCCUUCCUUCUAUCUUGCUCCUAUUACGUAAACCACUGUAAUGAACUAUCCAUCCCUUUAAAUAUUCAAAUUAUAAAUAACUAAACUGACAUCGAACUGUCUAACUAGCUCAGACCCUGCUCCGUUUUAUUUUUACUAUAUUAACAUUGUAGAGUGUUUUCUUUUGCGCAUUGUUUUUUAUUUCAUUAUGUGCGCUUGUGAAUACUAAAUUUUUUCCUGUCAUUUGUUUUAACACCGGGUUCCUCUACCUGUGCUUGGUGAUUUAUGAUGACAACAGUUGAUAUUGUUCCCUUGUUAUUGCUUCUUAAUACCUGCAUUACUGAGUUGUAUGGUCAGCAUGAUGUGUUGUCAUAUGCUUUCCCUUCAUUUACUUCAACUUAUUUUUCUCUCAAUGCUUGGGAUUCUUAAUAUGCACCAUUAUUUGUUUUGUUUAAGAAAAUUGAUAUGCAAAAGCAUCAUUGUCAAUUUGAUUAAUUGGAGAUUGUCUUUUGACAUAAUAUUAAAUAGUCCAGAGAAACUUGCAAAGUUUUUGGUUACGAUUUUACCUCAUGCAAAUGGGAAAAUGUUGGAUUUCCUACAAACUUUUACACUCUUAUCCACAAUAUUCAUAGAGUUCAUUCUGUAAAUUACUCCAAUUGACAUUGAACAACAUCUAAUACAAAGGAGCCAUUAAUUUGUUUGUUAAAAUCAGUAUAAUUCUUCACCAAUCUCUUGUUUUUAAAUAUAUUCCCUUCAUUUCUAUACAUGUAAGUUCCUUGCUAAAACUUUAGUUGCAAUGUCAGUUUCCACUUCCCUGCCAACCAUGUGUAGUUUUAGGUGGGAAAUAGUGGGCGGAGUGUCAGCUUGUGUGAUGUAAAAAUAAUACGAGCAUCGUGAGGUAAUUCUUGUUGAUUCACUGCUUGUCUGUUGUGUUUAUCCAGUGAGAUACAGCUUAAAAGCCCAAAUUGGCUUUUUGGCCAGAGAAAGUAUGAAGAAGGUUCCUCUGCUGCAAAAGUUGCUUCUAGUGAAACCGACAUUGAGGGAUGUCAUGCUAAUGACUUUUGCAACUUGAAUUGGCUUUCCUCUGGUAAUGAUAUGAAUGAAGAGGAUGUUUUUCAUAGGUAUGUAUCUUGAACAUGGAUUAUCCUUACAAGGCUUUGAUACAUCUUCUAUAUAUCCUUAGAUGUUCAGUGUCCCGUUCUGUUAUUUUUCCUACUUAAUAACAUCCGCACAUCAGAUAACCUCUGUAUAUUUAGUACAUUGUGAUUUGUGAGUUUAGUUUGCAACGUUUUACUGAUGAUGCUUUUCACAUAUCCUUGACUUUUUAGGUACUUUACAAUGACCUCAGCAAACGAGUCCAAUGGUUGGUAUGGAGGCACCCUCCUUGGUGAUCAAGAUGAAAGCAGUGAGAUAUAUAGACAUUAUGCUGAGUUAUGUCAGGUAUGUAAUUUCAUGUGAAUAUUAACUAUUCCUACGCCUACCUGAAAAAAAAUGUCAUGGUGGAUCUUGGUGUAGUAAUGACGGGCAGGUUGAAGGUUAAUAAACAUCCUUGGUCUCACUUGCUAUAUAUUCUUCUGUUUGUUUAUACAACAUGCAAGAAAUUUACAACGACAACCAAAGCCUUAUCCCACUAAGUUGGGUCGGCUACAUGGAUGAAAUUACACCAUAAUAUCAUAAAGACAUAAACCAUAUUUUGGUCCAACUCUUUAAUCUUCAAGUCUUUCCUAAAGUUUCUAUAAUAUACAAUAUAAGGAAAUCAACAAACAAAUAAAUAAUGACAUAUAGGUAUUAAUAAAUAACAGAACAUGUAGGAUUUUUGUGUGUUGUGUUAUUACAUCUUAUGCUGCCAAGAUGCAGUUUUUCUAGUAUUUUACCCACACCUUCAUCUACUUCUACAGGGACCUGCCUUUGAACUUUUCCAAGAUGAUCAUGAAAGAGAGCAACACUACGCGGAUGCUCUAAGCAUGAGUUCAUUUGAAAUUAUAAAUGAAGCUGGUGUUGCAGCAGAGAUGGAAGCAGCUCUAAAGGAGUAUGACCAAGUUGGUGCUGACCUUGGGAUCAUUCCCUCAUCUUGUAAAUUCUUCGCCGAUGAUCCAAGUUGGUUGACGAGGUGGUUAAUUGGGGACGAAAAAGUACCCAGGAUAUGAUGAGCUUUUGGCAUGUAUUUGGAAUGAUUGAUUUUUGUACUAUUUGAACUCUUGUUUAGUCCUAUGUAAAGUCAUAGUUAAUGUCAGUUUUCUUAUCAAGUUCAAUUCUUCAUUUUUGUUUUGAAUUAUGACUCUUUUUGUUCCAUACAAGAAUGUCACCUUUUGUUUUUAGGCUUUAUUUAAUUUGUUAGUAUAUUAUAUUAGUUAGGUCACUUGUCCCUUCUGUUUUAAGUUUGCUACUCAAUUCGAUAAACCAGUUAUUAUCGUGUUACAUAAUAACUGAUUAUUCCUAAUGCCUCUUUGUUUAUAACUAAGGCGUUGCCUCUUAUUAAUGCAAGCUUUUCAUUUUAUCAAAAGCUAAUAAAGUUUAUGAAAUCUUAUCUUAUCUUAUCUUAUAUACAAAUGCAAAGAAAAGUUGCAAGCAAACCCUAGGUUUGCCAUUUUUUUUUUUUUUUUUUUAUACCAAAAAGCCCCUCUUGGCACCAAAAUGCAAGGUCAUGUGAUAAUUAUGCCCAUUGAUUGUAUCAAUGCAAUCAAUGAAUGCCAUUUGUAUCAUAGUUUCUUCUAUAAAAAAAUCACAAUGAUUAUCUUAUAUACAAAUGCAAAGAAAAGUUGCAAGCAAACUCUAGAAAAAUCCUAGGUUUGCCAUUGUUUUUUUUUUAUUACCAAAAUGCCCCUCUUGGCACCAAAAUGCAAGGUCAUGUGAUAAUUCUGCCCAUUGAUUGUAUCAAUGCAAUCAAUGAAUGCCAUUUGUAUCAUAGUUUCUUCUAUAAAAAAAUCACAAUGAUUAUACAAAUCUUAUGAUGCAUUCUUAAGCAACAAUAAAUAAUAUUUUGUUUGCCUAGAUAAGAAAACAAUAACUUCAUUGUCACUCUAUACCUAAAGGCUACAUCAAGGUGCAAUCUAUGCACCUUUAUCGCCACCCUAUAGAUAAAAGGCUAGAUGAUAGACUUUGACUUUAGUCAGAAAAAUGACUAUAUUUCAAAUUUACAAAGAAAAGGCUAUACAUCGAGACAUAAAAGUUGUAAUUAUUAAUAGCAAGAGGGUUUGUCUUAUUUGGUUUCACUUUUUUAGCUACACGAUAAAAGGAUUUUGUUGCAAUGCAUUCCAAUCUUUUUUGAUGUCUUUCCACUUCUGUGUAUAGCAUGGAGAAGAUACAAACAAAACAGCAGGAAUAGGUUAUUGUCAAAAACACAAAAUACCUAAACAAUUCAACGAGACUCAAAUUUAUUGGAAGGAAUUAUGCAAAAGAUAUGAGACAUGAUGGAAUUCAAAUCAUCGUCAGGGAAGAAUAUUGAAAAGUUUAUAACAAAAAAUUAAAAUAAAUAAAGCAUCCCUUGAAUUAAUGAUAUGUUGAUGUACAUUCUUGAAAUAUUAGAGAAAUUCUUUCUUUAUUAAGCUGAAACUAAAUCAUUGUAGGCCUGGCAUCAAGCUUUGGCUCAAUAUACCAAGUGAGACUAAAAUAAGUGCAUGUUUGAAAGAGAGUUGAGAUGGGUAAAAUCAAAUGAAGUAUAUAGAAAACGAAGAAAAAAAAUUGUUGUACCUGAACAAUAGUGCACUAUAUUGGAUGAUAAACAAGCAUUAAAUUUUAAUUAGAUGAUAAACAAAAUACAAUAAUUCGCAAGAGAUCAAAUGGUAGUGCAUGUUUGUUAGAUCAAAGUGUCAGUCACCAUAUUACACCUUAGGUGCAAAUUAAGACUGGGGCGACAAUUACUAUCAUCACAUCCAAAGAAUAUAAUCAAUGAACAGAAUUGAAAAAGUGAAAAGCUAUUAUACCUUCACACAGAUCUUGCGAUCGCUUUGGGGUCUUUUGAAAUGUUUGACCCUCUUCUUUAUGAUCUUCUUGGUGAGAAGUGGCACAUCCAUUGUUGAUGAGCUGCUAUGAAGUGAGGAGUUACGUGAAUAUAUAUAAACAUCGUAUCUAGGGUUUGUUACCUGAACAAUAGUGCACUAUAUUAAAGUCGCUAUGAAAAACUGUAAUUUAUUGUGAUUAAAACCCUUAACCAUAUUCAGAUUGUUAUUUCUAAGUUUUACCACUAAGAAACAAAAAUUAAUAGACAAAAAAGGAAGGAAAUCAAGUAGAAAAUCAAAAUGCUUCAUAAACAUAUUUGAAGAAAAGGAUAACAAAAUGAAAAUAGUAUGAAAUAUCUUUCUAUCUAGCACAAUUUUGGUAUGUUCUUUCAUCGAUUUUGUGGAGCAGAGGUAGAUGACAAAGGCUAUGAUGCUUGAAUUGAUAAAAACGUGGGUAAUGCUUGAAAACUCCAUAAAACAAAAUGACCCAUUUUUCGAUUUUGUUCCUCUGAUACAAAAACUACUAACUCUGACAUAAUAUGAUUUUUAUUCCAUGUGACUGAUGAUAAGUGGAAAAACUAUCUAAUGAAUUUUACCAAGAAUGUUCGUUAAUUAAUGUUAUUAUUACUUAUGUAAUCUCUUAAUCAAGUUUCAACUAUAUUAUAUUUAACCUAUUUUUUAUUUACUAUGCUUAUUGUGCUUAUCAUUGACCCGUGUGAAGCACGGGAGCACGAUUUAGUAUGAUAAAAUUUAGAGUAAUAUAAAAUGGAGUUCUAUAAUUUAGAUUUAAAAAAAAUCAGUGGAAUGGGUAUUCCAUUCCCUAAUUUGGUGUGUAUUAAGAUACAAUCCUACCUCUUAUAUUAGACUAUUACUUUUCCCGUCCUAUGAGGUACUCAUGCAUCCUAUAGAAUUUCCCAAAAUGCAUUUCGGAUUAUAAAAUUCGAAAAAAUAUGAAAUGCAAUUUGGAUUAUAUAAUCCGAACUACUUCAAUAUAUAUAAGGAAAAUCACCCCUCCUAUUUUACAGUUUUACAGUUUCAAAUUUUCACUCUCUCUCUCAUCCCAAAAUCCGAACCACAAAAAUCUGUCCAAACUUAAGAGUUUUUUUUUGCUCAAAAUCACCGCAUUUGAAGCUUUAACAAACAUCAAAGUGAAGGUUAGUAGUGACUCGUUAUGCAUGCAAGUUAAUUAGGUCGGUUUUUUUUUCCUGUACACUGAAGCUGUUCGGAUUUUAUAAUCCGAAUUGUAUUGUUGCAGUUCGGAUUAUGUAAUCCGAGUUAUACCAAUGUUAUUUUUUUCCCUUGUGUUGUGCAUUUUAUGUUGAUUGUGUCUUACCCUAUUAUGCAUGUUACAUGUAUGAAUCAUUUGCAUUAACCUCAAAAUCUUUUGCAUUAACCUCAAAACUUAAGGCUCAUACUCAGGAUUAAAAAAAAUUUAACAUUUUCUUUGUCAUCUUUGCAAACUCAAUUUAUGUGUCCAUGUCCUCCUGGGAAACAUUAUUAGGGAAUUUUUUAAAGUGACAACUUGUCAAACUUCCUUAGUGAUGAUUCAAUAUGGUGUGUACAUUAUCACAAUAUUUUAUAGUGUCUUCUGUGUUGCCUUCAUUGGAAUCAAAAUCUACCUUACUUUAAAUUUAUUUCUCAAUUUGUGAUAAUGUUUUAUUGUGUUAGUCAAAUGAAAAUGUGAUGUAUGCUUCCACAAAGAUAUCAAUAUCUUUAAAAUGGUGCUUCUUCUAAUGACUUUGUCAAUGUAAAGAUAGUUCAUGCAACCAGAAAUAUUACAUGAGAGCAAACUUAUUUGAGUUGGACCUUCAUGUUUUCUCCUCUGUCUCACCUCCACUUCAUUGUUUGUAGUUACUAUCAUCAAAUAUAUAUUUUCCAGAGAUUCCAAGUCUUCAAUAAGUGGAACUAUUGGUAAAAUAAUUGUAGAAAAGGUUGUCUUAUGGUACUUUUAUAAGUACAUGAAAAAUAUGACAUUAUAGUUAUAUUUUUUUUUUGAUAUAAAAUAUGGUGAGAAACUCAAAAGUGAAUUUUGAUUCAUAGAAUAAAUGAUGAUGGAUAAAUAUUCCAACAAUCCAAUUCAGCAACAAUUAAAUAACUUAACAAAUGAUAAUAUAACCUCAUUGCUGGACAUCAAUUAAAUGAAUGAACUCAACAUGAACCAAUCAGAACAAAACCAUGGUAUAUAUUUCUCAUAAAUUGAUUCUAUAUUAAAAUUAUAGUAUACCACAAUUAUUAAUAUUUCAAUCCAUGUAAUUGAUUCCACAUUCUUUAAUAUUAAUUAAUAAUCUUCUUUCAAACAAUAUGAUCAUAUCACCACUCAAAUUUGGAAGAAAAAAAAGAGCAUCGUUAAUUUUAUUUUUUUUAAUAAAAGUUUAGGUGUCAAACUUAGCAUUAUUCAAGUAAAUUUUUACUAUUAACAUUAAUAAUCUUCUACGACUAUAGAAAUAAUACACACACACACACACAUGGAAACAUAUGUUAUAACAUAAUUCUCUCAUUUUUUUAAAAAACAAGUCUUAUCUAUUAUAAAAGUAACCGCUACUUUCCGUAUAAAAAAAAUCAACCACUAUUUUUUUAGUAGGGAAAGAAAAAAUAAUCAACCACUACUAACAGUAUCUAAGAUAUUUUAAUCUAUAUGAUAAGUUCUAUUAUAUUUUUCAAAUCCAUAUGCAAACCCUUAUAGAAAAAUGUUUUUAUUCAACAAUAUUUUUUCAACUAAAAAUAAAUUUUACUCUCUUUAGUUGAAGAUAUAUCCUUAAAUAAAUAUUGGAUAAUAUUUCUUCAACAAAAAACGAGUACAUACUUGAUGAGACCAAAAACAAAAUAGAUAGUGAAGGGAAAGUGAAGGAGAAACCAUUGAAUGACAGGCCUGAUAAGUCAGUUCCAAAAUAACCAUUUAUGUUGCUUCACCAAAUACCUAGAUUGUGACCAAGUUUUGAGUCAUUAUUUAUAGACUAAAUUUUGAAUUAAAUUAAUUUGUGUGUCUGAAAUCUAUUUAAGAAACAUUUAUAAACCCCCAACAUAUACUAAGGGAAAAAAAGCAUCAAUCGAUUAAUUAUAUAUAGUUUUCAUUAAACUACGUUUCUUUGUCUCAUUAUUAUAUAUGCAUUUAUUUGCUAUUCUUUAGUUUAUUGAUAUUUAUAUUUUUGCAAAUUGUAGAUGUGGACAGAUGCUAGACCAAAUUCCAUACACAGACAACCUAACGAAUCUGAUCAAUAUUCAUGUCAAUUUCAUGUAAAUUUCUACGAUGAUCAAGGUUCACUUGGUACAAAGUUAAAAACUCUGAAUAAAGAGGUCAAUGUAAUUGGAAUAUAUCAAAUUUUCAUCCUCCAAAGACUUUAACAAAAUACAUGUGAAAGAUUGUUAAGAAAACUGAUAGUUAUGAAGUUAAUCCCAAAAAUUAGGAUUCAUCACAAAUACCGCUCUUUAUUGCUAUAAUCUAAAAAUUUUUUUUGCUAGGCAAGGAGAGAGGACAAACAUCAAAAGGAAACACCGACAUCCCAACUAAGUUGGCACCCUGGAAAACCCCCAUUCUAUGCUGCCAAACUCUAAAAUUUUAUUAAAAAAAAGGGGAAAAUAUAUACAAGAAGAGGGGACUAUGCCAAAACCCUAAGAAGAAAAUAAACAGAAAAAGCUAAAACAUACUACAACAUACUAAGGAAACAUGUAGUUAUGCCAUCUAACUCUAUCACGAAAGAAAUCCAAAUGCAUGCAACUCCGUUGGAAGAGAGUCCAACCAAACAAAACCUUGAAUGGCGUGACCCAUAUUCGCUAAUCUGUCAGCACAAUAGUUACCUUCGCGAAAGAUAUGGGAAGAAAUAAUCUGACCUCCAAGGCUACGAGCAUUAUGCCAUCUGUUCCAUAAUCUAGAUUACUUUUCAGAAAAUUUUAUCUAAUCUUUCUUGGUGUGUUACCACAUCUUUUUUAAAGAAGGUUUCGUUCAUUAUAUGAUUUGUGCACAACAAGGUUGUGUAUCAAGUUAUGGUAAAUGAUACUGAUAUUAGUAGUCCUUCUCUCAUGAAUGUUUUGAACUUCAAAUAAAAAAACGGAUCACUAGUAUCUAUUGUUUCACAAUUCAAUCAUGAUCAUGACCGAAAGGAAGGUGCAACGCGGCUAAUGUCAAAGACCUUCCUUGACACUGGCUGCAUUGCAUCUUCUUCUCCAUCAUAAUCAUGAUCAAAUUGAGAAAAAACAGGUAGCAGUGAUCCAUUUUUUGAUUUUAUGUUCAAAACAUUCAUAAGACAAGGAUUACUAAUAUCAAUAUUAUUUCCCAUAAGGUGAUACAUAACCUUGUUGUGCACAAAUCUUAUAAUGAAAGAAAUCUUCUAUAAAAAAUAUGUCGUAAGAAACCAAGAAAGAUCGGACAAAAAUUUUCUGAAAAUAAUUUUGUGUGAGCUAAAAUAAUUUUGAAGAAAUGGAUACCUUUGUGGAAGCAUAUAUCACACUUUGAAUUUGAUGAGAUGGAUGAGAUUAAUCCAUUAACAAAACUUUAUAAAUCAAUUUCAAGUAUUGUAUUUUUUGAAAAUUGAAGAAGUUUGGAGAAAUGUUUGUGUUUGGAGCAAUUUAUUCUCAUUGAGUUAUUUGGGUUUAAUAAACUCAAUUGAAAAUCCUAUUCUUAAAUUUUUUUAAGCUUGAAUGGUUAGUGAGAUUGAUGCUUAUGUUGCGAAAUUUCAAAUUGUGGUGAUUGUUAUAUUUAUUUAUAUUCACAUGUAAUUCAAGACAACUGAAAAAAAAAUAUAAAAAAUUAUUUGUCUAUUAAGUAAGGAAAGUAAAUAAAAAAUAUAAAAAACUAAUUAACAAAAUCAAGUCAAAUUUUUAAUAUUAAAUGUUUUAUAUUCAUCUAUGAAUAUGAAUGAAUUCAAUGCAAUAAAGUAAGGAAAGUAAAUAAAAAAUAUAAAAAACUAAUUAACAAAAUCAAGUCAAUUUUCUAAUAUUAAAUGUUUUAUAUUCAUCUAGUAAUAUGAAUGAAUUCAAUGCAAUAAAAUAAGUUGACCACAAUUUUCCUUAAGAAAAAGUUGACCACAAUUUUCCUUAAAAAAAAGUUGACCAAUAUUUUUCAAUUAAUUUUAAAAUAUUUUAAAAGUAUUCUCAAAUUAUGUUAAAUUAAAUAAUAAUCAAAUACACAAGAAUAUAGAUAACACCAUAAUAUUUAUGAAACAAGUGAUAGAUACUCGAUCUUUAAGGUGCCAUUUAAUUUGGGAAAGGAGAGUUCUUUCCCACCAUGGGAAAGUUGAUCAUGUCCAUUAGAUUAAAUGAGGAACAUAUUCCUAUCAUACUCUCUCAACCACUAGAUUAUAUUUUUAUACUAUCUUUCACACUCUCUCUUUCAUGUCCCCACACACCCAUGUGAAAGAUAAUAUAAAAAAAAUAAUCUAGUGGUUGAGAGAGUAUGAUAGGAAUAUGUUCCUCAUUUAAUCUAAUGGACAUGAUCAACUUUCCCAUGGUGGGAAAGAACUCUCCUUUCCCAAAUUAAAUGACACCGAUCUUUAAAUUCUCAAUUGUCUCUUACAACCUUCCGCGAUAAUAUUUAAACCAUAAAUUUGAGAUUAUAAGACUAACUUCAUUUAAAAGUAUUCCACAGAAUUAACAAUUAUGUUCUAAAUGUCUUUAUUACUUUAACUACUGUGUUAUUCUAAAUGUUUUUGUUACUUUAACUAUUGUGUAAAGCAAAAUUAAUUUUUCAUGUACAUUCUUAAUUAAUUAUUUAUAAUCUUAAACUCACUUGGGUUGGUCUAGUGAUAUUGACUUGGGAUUUGGAAGUGUGCUCCGACUCAAGGUCCCAUGUUCGAUUAUCUCUGUGCUAAUUUAGAUGGACUAAUUUAGUUUAUUCAAGAAAAAAAAUCAUAAUCUUAAAUAAAUAGGCCAUAAAAAUUUAUUUUUACUAAUUUGUAAGGAACAUAAAAAUAAAAAAUACUACUUAAUAAAUAAUAUAAACCUUUUAGUAUUAAAUAUUCAUAUUAUUGUUUUAAUAUAUGUUAUAAUUACAUUUACAUAUAAAUCAAUCAACAUCUUCAAAAAUGAUUUUUGUCAUCAUAAUGGAAAGCAAUAUAAUAUAUGUAAAAUUUACAAACACUCUUUUAUUUUAGGCCCUAUUUAGUCAACACUUACUUUUGCAAUUAAUGCAUCCAUAUUGCUAUACAAAUAUUAUUAUAUUUAGAUUUAAAAUGCAUCCAUAUUACUAUACAAAUAUUAUAUUUAGAUUUAAUUAAAUCUAAAUAUAAUAUUUGUAUAGCAAUAUGAAUGCAUUAAUUGCAAAAGUAAGUGUUGACUAAAUAGGGCCUAAAAUAAUAGAGUAUUCAUCAUUUCUAUAUUAAAUUCAAUAUUCAUACGUUUUUGUUAACAUAUUUUAUAAUAUACAUUUGCACAUAAAUCAAGUCAAUUUUUCAAUCGACAUUAAGGUAAAUAACAAAUAAAAAAAAUGCUAUUAACUACCUAUUCCUUCAAUCCGAAUGUAAUAAUAUAGAGUGAUGUGAACAAAUUUAAUGGAGAAAUAUAAGUUUUGACCAUAAUUGUUCAAUUAGCAUUUAAAUUAAUUUUAAGGUUAUUUUGAAAUCAUGUCCAAUUAAAAUACAAAAAAAGUGACGACAUAAUAUUUAGACAUUAAUAUAUAUUUGGUCCCUUAACUAUUUUUAAAAGUUCAGUUUGAACACUUAACUUUAAAACCAUUUAAGUUGAUCAUUUAACUUAUGUUGCAUUGGUUAACACAAUUUGAUCAUUUUUGUUUUUUAUUGAUAAACACCAUUAAAUAUCGGUGAUGUGGAUUCAAAAAACUUUAGUUUAGUCUCUUAACUUAUGGUAUAAUUCAAUAUGGUCUUUUAAUUUAUCUAUAAAGUUCAAUUUAGUCUUUAAAAUCAAACAUCAAAUAAUUACAAAAGAAAAUAACAUUGUAAUGUGUCUUAAGUUAACCGAUUCAUUCUUCAUCCCAUGUGACAAGCAUAUGAUAAAACCAAUUAUUUUGACCAAUUUGGAUGAGGAAGACAAUAUUGUGUGGAUGAGAAUUAUAGCAGUAAAUCGGGUUAUCAUUUUAUUCAGCUGAAUUGGUUCUUUAAGUUGUGGUCAUGUUGCAUUUUUGUGCUUCAUGUUAAUUUUAUGAUUGAAUGAACCAUAACUUAUGUUCCACAUCAAGAAUGUCAGCACAUUAUGAGUCGUUGUGAAGCUUCAAAUCAAGAAUGUUGGGUCUUUGUCUAAUUUGGAUAAUUCCAUUGAUUAGACAUUUGAAAUUCCUCUAUUGAAAUUGUAAUUAUAUGUUCAUUCUCUUUGUCCUUGAAGUUCUUUGUUUGUUUCUACACGUGGUCAGAAGAAGAAAAACUGUAUUAUCAGACUUUGAUAGAAACAACUACAGAAGAGGACAAAUCUGACAUGGAGUCUGGGUCCCUCAAGAUCUUCUGUACUUUCAAAGUCCGGAGGUCUUUAGAGUUUGAUGGUCUCCAGAGUCUGAUGUAGAUCUUAAGCUUCUCAGAAACAUCCUUUCUUCUGAUCUGAGGCAUUGACUUCUGGUUGACCUUUCUUCAGAUCUUCUACCAUAGUCUUUGAGCUUCUCUUCUACUUCUGAUGUUCUUAUACAUGUUCAGACCUUGUUAAAUUUUAAUAUAUGGUCCUUUACACUUGAACAUAUAUUAUCAUAUCCAAUUGUUCUUUAAUAUUUUGUUAUCAUCAAAACCUUAGAGGAAUUGUACAAAUUAAUUUUGUUCCAACCUAUAUGCUGAAAAAUAAAGAGAGUAGGGAAGAGAAAAGUAUUCAAAUAGAUUACACUGGUUCCCCUUCUAACCUAACAGUAUUCCAGUUCCAUCACCCCAUGACGCAUCUAACAAUCUUGCUACUUAAUCAAGAUAAAACUCCAUUAUCAUUACAACAAGAAUCUUCACCGAACCCUAUGAUGAAAUUCUCACAAACUUUGAACAAAUAUCUUCACCAAACAAUGUGAUGAAAUUAUUACAACCUUUGAACAAGAAUCUUCACCAAACACUAUAAUAAAAUUCUUAACAAAUGUUGAAGAACUUUUUUGUAGCUGUAUCAAAUCAAAAUCACUUUCAAAUGAAUAUAACUUAAUGCCCAUAAGCCUUUUUGGAUAUGAAAAUAUAAUCAAGGUUACAAAAAUGUAAGUUUGAAAGUUUAAGUGAGAAAAUGACGUUCGAUCUUAGACUUUUUGAAUUUGAAAGUUGGUGAAUGUUGUUUAGAUGUCAAAUGUACUUAUAGAGUCCAUAGAAAACGUAUAUGAAGCAAGACACCAGUUCCAAGGUAUUCCAUGAAUCAUUACUAUGUCGGUGGAAGCCCUAGAGGCCAAUGGUUUAUGUUAAACUUAUGUUAUGUAUCAUGACUUUUAUUAUUAAAUAAUAUAUGGCACUCUUUAUUAUAUUUUUUGUAAUGUUAAUAAAGUCCCUAAAAUAGAUAGUUCGUGCAAUGAUAUAUUAAGUGUGAUUUAAUCAUUAGAUUACAUUAACAUAAAGAACGCUAUUCUUAAAUGUAUCCGUAGUCAAACUUUAAUAUGAAUUAGGAUAAUAAUAAAGCUUCGAGACUAUUAUGUAUGUAGACUGAUGACCACAUCUCAUGAGUCAUAGAUAUGAGAUAUUAAGUCUAUACAUAGGUAUAAAUAAUAUUUAUAUUGGAUUGACCCACCGUUAGAAUACUACAUAGUAUGUUAUGAAAAUGUCAUAAGAUAUUAUCACAGGGAUAAUAAUGUAUAUCACUCAUAGACCUGAAACCACUAUGAUCCGUAGAUGUGUACUCAAGUGCUUUAUUGUCAUUCUAACGUUGUCUGUAAAAGGAUAACCAUAAUGUUGGCUAAUGGGUACUCGAUGAAUCAUGCUGAGGGACAUGAGUGUCCUAGAUGAGAUUUUUCCAUCCUCAUAACAUGAGAUAUAUCUUUAGGCCUCUUGAUGAAAUAUGACUAUAAAGUUGCAUGACCAUGCCGAGUCAAUAUGAGAUAUUGGACUUAUUCGUUAUUCAGUAUAUUUCGGGAUCAAGAAAUAUAAAUAUUGAUCUAUACAAGGGUGGUAAUAUCUAUGCCUUGUGAUUAAUAUAGAUAUGAGGACAAAUAAGUAAUUGUACACAUGAAGGUUUCGUCAUAUCACUUGACAUUCUUGUCACUUGGGUAGCAAUGAUGUGUUGCUAAAUACAUAUCACUGUUUAUAAUAUUAAAUACUAGAUUUAAUAUUAUUGGCAACGUGACUAGAACCUAUGGGGUCACACACAAAAGAAAGGUCAAAAGAGAAAUAUAAGUAAGACUUAUAUGAUGGGUGCGUUUAGAAAAGAACGCUAAUUAGUUAACAAAAGACUAAACUCGCUAUUGGGCUUACGGAAGCCCAAUAGAUACUUCUGACUUGCAGAGCACACUAGGAGUUCUAUAAAUAGAACCCUCGUGCUGAAGUCUUGGUUACAUGUUUUAGAAACCCUAAUUCUCCCAAACCUCUAAUCGCUUGGCUAGCACCAGGAAUUGGAGGAGCAUUGUUCGUGUGGAGGCUCUGCUCCUUGCUUAGCUGUGAUCGUGGUUCACUUUUGCUGCAGUUUGAGGUAAUAUUCAUUCACUGAUUCAUGACAAAUUCGUGAUGAUCCAAGUAAAGAAAAUCAAAAUUUUUAUUCCGCUGCAUGUUUUAGAUUUUCCUUCAUACUAAUUAGUUGAAUCACAUCAGUUCAUCCAAAAAAAAUAUUGGUACAGGUGGUAACUGAUUCCUAUGUUUUGGUAAUCGGUUACACAUUUUCAACGUUAAAAAAAUUGAAAAAUAAAAUUAACUACUAAGUUAUUAUACAUAUUGGGUAAUCUGUUACACAAUCAAAAAUAUUUAAAAAAGACAAUGAAAACCAGUUUUCCAACAUUUUAAAAGCUUGCUUCUCGUAGACUCUUAUAGAGAAUGAAUUGUGAUUAAAUUCAAAUGAACUCGGACCAUACUUACAAUGUUUCACACUAUACAAUCUAAAAGUCUUUAUCUUCAUCUCGCGCCUCCAUAAUUUUUUUUCUUUUGUGAUGUUUUGUUUGUUAUUAUCAAAACCCAACCAAGUCUAGGAAGCAAAUCUUCUUCACAUAUUUAAAUUAUAUCUUUUUUUUUUAUUUUUUUUAUUUUUUAUUUUUACGUUAAAGAUGAUUUUAUUAACAAAAGUUUGGCAAUAAAUCGAAUGCCAAGACUGCAGAUACAAGGUGGAGUCUCUUCGAUCCAUAUGCAAUCUAAAUUAUGAAGAGCAUGUUUAGAUAAAUAAUGAGCAACUUGAUUGGCUUCAUGCCUAACAUGAAAUUUUUUUAAACUACGAAAACAAACACUUAAGCUAAUACAAUCUUCAAUAAUAGAGCCGAAAUAGGUGGAAGAUUGUUGAUGAGUAUUCAACGCCAAGACUACAUUAGAAACAUCUGAUUCUUUUUUUUUUUUGGUUAAGAAGCAUCUGAUUCUUCUAUAAGAUUCAUAAAACACAUGACUUUCACACACUCCAAACCCUUUCGCAUAGCUAUAGCUUAUGCAACCUCCGAGUCUGAUAAAAAAAGACUUGCCAGCAGCUAGCAGCUACGAAACACCUUCAUUAUCUCUUACCACAACACCGAUACCCCAUUUACCCUCCUUUAUCAGACUUGCUGCAUCAACAUUAAGAUUAUAGAAACCACUAAAAGGAGGUGUCCAAUGAACAUUAAAUAUUGGCAAAAUUGGACUCUACUUAGUGCCUCCAACAACACCGUAUUAGCACUCUUAAAAUUCACAAUAGAUCUUUGUGCCUUUUGGAAAAUGACAGUCACAUCAACAUCAGUCCCCUCAAAACAUUUUUUUAUUUCUAGCACAACAUAUAUCAUAACACAAGGCCAAAACAUGAACAAUAAUAUCCUCACCAGCAUCAAUAAUAUUUCUCUCCAACCACUCCGAAAAAGGUACGUACUUGGGAUCAUGCAUGUUAAAUACAACGACUAAAGAGGAAGCAAACCAUAUCUGCUUUGACCAAUGGUACUCCAUAAAAAGGUGUUAAAUUGUCUCAUUAUGAUGCUCACAAAAAACAAAAUAUGGAUCACUACUUAUUCCUUUUUUAAAAAGAUCAUUUUUUACCGAUAGUUUUACAUGUAGAAUCCUCCAGGAAAAAUGAAUGUGUCUUGGAAUACUUUUUAUUUUCCAUAAUUUUUUCCACACUUGGUGAUCAUUGUCCAGCAUUGAGUUAUGGGAAACUUCUACUUCACGCCUUGCCUUUAAGAAAUGGUAUGAACUCUUCGCAAAGAAAAUAGCUGACCGUGAAGCACCCCACACAAAUUCAUCUUGUAAUUAAGAGAGAAAAAUUGGCAAUUGAAGAAUUUGUUCAACCUCAAAAGGGAGAAAAAUGUCAUUAAUUAAAGGGGCAUUCCAACAUCGAAUAUCAUGAUGAAUAAGAUCUAAAACAAACAUAAUAUCACAAUUAGGAGGUUUAGGGGACCAAAUCUUGUGUCCAUUUUGAUAAGGAAGCCAAUUAUCCUCUCAUACGUUAAUUAGACGAGCAUCCCCUGUAACACCCCGUUUUCCCAACAUAAAAAAAAAUCAUAAAAAUAACCAGAGUUACGUUUUCCACAUAAACAGAAUGCUACACUUCUUUUCUUAAAAAUCAUAAACGGAAUAAUUAACUAUUAUCCAUCAAAAAUUUAAUAACAAAAUAUUCAAUGCUUGGCAGCGGAAUUUAUUUCAACAUCUAAAUAGUCUUUGGCACAAAGGCUUCAUCAUAAAUAUCUCAUAGAAAUUCAGUCUAAAAACAUAGUCAUAAACUUCAUAAAGUAACACGUAAGGAAUAGAAAAGCAUGCAACAAAGUUCUCAUCACGUUACGUAUCAGAGCACCUAAAGACACACGUGAGAGAUAGUCCACUCACGACAGCAAUCUAACAGCAACUUAAACUCGAUCACCUGCAAGAUACUCAUACGAAGAGCAACAUUUUCAAGCAGAAGGGGUGAGAUUUCACAUUCAAUAAUAAUAAGCAUAUAAUUCAUCAAAAGCAUUUAACAACUUACACUUCAUCAAUUAAUAACAUUACUCUUCUUAUAAUACUUCGUUAAUAACUCAAUCAACUUCUAAUCAUCAUUAACUUCAUAUUCAUCACAUUAUACACAAUGUCAUAUAGUAACAUAAACAUCACAUCAUAAACAUCAUUUUAUAACAUCAUAUACUUCACAUCAUAAACAUCAUCAUAUAACAACAUAAUCACAUCAUAAACACCAUCAUAAAUAACAUAACAACAUCAAAAUCAACAUCAUAAACACUUCAUUAACGACACAUGGGUAAAUAACAACUUAACAACAACGACACGACUUCAACUCGACAAUGCAACUUAGACAUCUUACACAUCUUGAACCAUCUAGACAAAAUGCAACUACGACCUCUUAAUCAUGCAUGCGGUACCAACCAGAGCAUCAAGCCCCCAACGUAUUGAGCAUAAAUACACUCCCAAGGUAUCAAACCCUCAACUUAAAGAGAAAAAGCUCACAUGACAUCAAGCCCUCAACGUAUUGAGCAUAAAUACACUCCCAGGGCAUCAAGCCCUCAACUUAAAGAGCAAAAGCUCACAGGGCAUCAAGCCCUCAACGUAAAUGAGUAUGCAUGGACUCAACAACUAAAGCAACGACAACCAACAACUUCAACGACAUCGACAACAACUUACAACUUUAACGACAUUGACAACAACUUACAACUUUAACAACUUGACCAACAUAUGCAACUUAAUGAUUUAAUAAUCAAUACAGCAGAGACAACAACAUACAUCAACUUCACAACAUAGCAUCAUUAAUAAUAACAACAUGAAUGAUAUAACAAUAUUAUUUUUCUAUAUCAUACCUAUUCCACAUAAAUAUAUGUAACUCAAAUUAUUCAACAACAACAUACACAUAAUAUAUGUAUUUCAAAUUAUCCAACAAAGAUAUUCACGUCAAACCAAAUUAGAUCCAUCACAACAUAGGUUAAAUACUCUUAAACACCCUAAUUGAACUAAUAGUACUUCUAGUUUUGAGGUUUGGAAUUAUUCCAUAAGUUUUGGAUUAACUUAGAAACGGUUAUGCUGAAUUUUCACUAAGACCUCCUUGGAAUAUUUUCAUCAUAUCUCAAGAACCAAAAAUCAUUUGCACGUAAAACCAAAGCUACUGGAAAGCUAACUCAAUCAUCUACAACUUUCAUGUUUACACCAAAGGCCAAUUUAAAACAGAAACGUGUGAAAAAGACGCAAGAACAUGAAACAAGACCUGUUGUCAGAGAGCAACUCGGGAAAAACCCACCUUUCACCCCAAAAUUUCAAUUUUAACUUCCCUAUGCCCAAAUUUGAUCCAAAAACUUGUGUAACCAUUUAUAUACAUGUUAAGACACUCAAAACCAUAUAAAACAUUGCACUAAAAUUAACCCAUGAUGAACAUCAAUUCUACACAAAUUCAACGGAUUUUCUACUCUAUUAACAACCAAUUACAAUUUCAAAACCUAAUUCCCAAAUUCCCAUAACUACAACCUACAACAUGCUAAACUCAAUUUCAGAAUUAUACAACUUAGAAUUAGAGAAAGUUAGUCCCACCCUUACCUUAAAUAUGAUGAUCGGUCUCUACACUAAAUAACAUAAUAUUUCCACACCAAAUAACAUAAUAUAUUAUACUAAUAAAUACCAACAUAUAACAUAGCAAAAUAUCACUCAUCAAAAUAAAUCGACUAAAUUAUAAAAAGACAUCUAAACUCAAUAAAAUAAAUAAAUAAUAAAAUAGGGCGUUACAUCCCCUACUCUCCACAAACCAUCUUUCUCAAUAACAUCCACACAAGCUUGCAUAAUACUUCUCCACGUAUAACUUGGGCAAUAACUAAUUGAAGCUCUCAAGAAAUUACUUCUAGGAAAAUACCUUGCUUUUAAACACUGUGAGAUUAAUAAGUCGUCGUUGUGCAUUAUACGCCAACCAUGUUUAGACAACAUUGCAAGGUUGAACUGAUGAAAUAUUCUAAAGCCCAUUCCACCUUUCUUUUUUUCCUUACAUAAUGUGUCCAAUUUAAUCCAAUGAACUUUACCCUCACCUUGUUUGGAUUCUACGAAGGUUGUUAGGUUUGUAUUUUGUGAUUGGCCGUAUUUUAUUAAAAUAAGUGUUCUAGCAAGAUGUUGGACAAGAUGUCUCGACAUGUUGGUACGACAUCGUAGUCUGCCUUGUUUCACAUUCUUGGAAGAUUGAAUUUUUGCGUAAGAUCACUGAAGAUUUGAUUGAAGAUAUGAUUCACGCGACUUGUGCUCCAAGAGACCUGUGUUUCUGGAAGCUUCCUUUGCCGGUUUAAUGCUGUCAUGAUGCUAGUUUAUGUGCUUGAUGUAUGGAUACACAUGGGUGUGUUCUGUUUCUUGUGUACUGAUGUCAUACCAGAUGUCUUGACAUCCUGUUGUAAGAAUUUAUUUUUCUCUGAAGUUGGUUGCUUAUGAGAGUUUAUUUCUCGUUGAAAUUUCUUUUGUUGUUUCUGUCAGGCUGGGUUUUCUAUUUUUUGUUGGUGCAUGUCUCUGUUGUUCUGGAUGAUGUUCCAACAUGUCCAUUGUGCGUUAGUUUUGAAGAUGUUUCUUUUGAAAUUAAUGCUGAAGUUUUCUUUUAUUACUUUCUUUCAAGUUUAGUUCUUGUGAUAAAACGAAAGAAAGUGUGAUUUUAUUCCUCCUGUUCUUUUUAUCUGUGCAAGUUUUUGUGGUUAUUAAAGAUGUGCUAUGCAAAGGUUGUUUUAGCCAAAAUUUAUCAAAGGGGGAGAUUGUUAGGUUUGUAUUUUGUGAUUGGCCGCAUUUUGUUAAAACAAGUGUUCUGAGUUAACAUUCUCAACAAAUUCUGAUCUCACCUUUUUGUGUGUUGCAGCAUCCGCAUAUGCAUCAAGAGGUUUCUCAAAAGCCUUUGACGAGCCAAUACCCUGUGGAUUCUCUUUUUCCUUCCAAUGUGGAAUUAACGGUUUCUUUGGCACCUAUUUUUCUACCUUUGUCUUGUAUCUCUUUUUUCUUACUGGUGUCCACCACAAGAUCUUUCUCCAUGCCGUUAUCUGUCCCACUAACUUGUUGCGGGUGCAACCAUCGAAAAGUGGAAACAAUGUGACCAAUAACCUAACAAUGUGAGGAAAAAUUAGGAUGCCACUUGUAGGCAACCUCAAUAUUGAAAGCAAAUCCUUCCCUUUCAACCAUUACUUCAUGAAAUAGACGACGAGAAAAGUCCAAAUCCACCAAAACACAUGUGUAAUGACCAAAGGUACGAUUCUUAGUGGUUGUAUCAAUGAUUAGGAGCGUGCCAAAAGCGCUAGCAAUUUCACAGAGUUCUUUCCAACCAAUAUUCUUAUGGAAACUCCAUAAGUCUUAUCCACACUUGAGCUUGUGUGUGUGUGUCGUUGUGUGUGCUUAUUGAAUUAUUUUGUACAUUGAGAUAGACGAAUCAAUCCAGGAUUCAAGAUGUUGAUCUUCAAAAGAUGCGAAGGAAAACUCAUAAAACUAUUUACCAAGGGUGGUCAUCUUCCAAGGUCCUGUUGUUGUCCAAUGUUUCGACUACUUUGUUGUGAUAUCUUUGGCUGUGUAGGGCUUGUCAGUUGUCACCCUUGUUUAGAACAAGCCUUCCAUGUAAAUGACAGCUACAAACUUGUAAUCCCUUGACAUACAUAUCCUCUUUGAUUUUAAUAGAUAAGGAAUCACCUUUAAUAGUAGGCAGUGGAAGUGGGUCAGUAAUGGGAGGUUGAAGAAGGGGAAAUAAUCUGAGCGAAUGAGCGUUGCUGCUGAACAAGAUUUGACAAAGCUAAUUAAUUUUAUACCACACAAGGCCAUGGACAUGUGAAGGUCAUGCCUGGGUCAAAAGAAAGUACCAAAUGCAACACGCAGUAAUUUAUAAUUUCAAAGGCACAUAAAAACAUGAAUGAAUUGGCAACCGUGAAUAGAGAAUUGCUUGAAUAUUGGAAAGUGAACCAAUCCAAAGUGACAAAUAUGGUGAUUUAUGUGAAUGAAUUAAUGCUACCAGUUGUAAAAAGGUGUGUUGAAUUGAAAUUAAUAUGUAGCUAUAUCACAAUCACAUAUGACAAUGAUCAUGAAAAAACAGUUGCAAAAGCAGCGCCGAUGUAGAUAUUUGGAAACCCUAGCAGAGCCGUCAGCCGAAACUACAAUUUUUAUUGAUAACACUUUUGUCCUUGAUCUUCUUUUUUUUUCGAUUUAAUCUUUGAUGUCGUAAAAUGUCAACAUUUUUAUCAUUCUUUAUGGAAAAUAUUCCAUUUGAUAUUUUAGUUGAAUUUGUUUUUAUUUUAGUCAACCCGUAUGUAGAAUUGUGGAGGUGAACACAAGUGAGAUUUGUCCUACACUUUAUAAGGAUGUUAAUUUGGUACUGCAUGUGUUGGAACAAGAUGAGAACAACGCGCCUUUUACUCCCGUUUUGACAAAAAAACAACACAAGGCUCUCAAUAGGUCAGCUUAUAAUACUCAUUCAAAGGGUGAUCCUCCAUCCACUUCUCAAUGAAGAUCUUUCUUUGGAAUAUUAGAGGUAUAGGAAAUUCGGAAUCCUAAACUACACUUCAUGAUUUUUAUCAGAAUCAUAGAGCAGAGAUUAUGUUUAUUGUUGAACCUAAGGUACCUCUUUCGCAUCUUCCUACUUGGUAUUGGACUUCGAUUCAGGUUAUGGGUUAUUGUAUGAAUAAUACAGCGCCUCUUGCUCCUAAUCUAUGGCGCUUUGGGGUCGUGUUAUUUCUCUCUGGGUUAAUAGGCUUUUAUCCCCCUGCCAUUUAGGUGAUAUAUGGUUUACCCCCAUGUAAAAAAAAGUUUGGAGAUC
rnacentral:lncRNA from 1 species